rnacentral:lncRNA from 1 species
GGUCACGAGGCAGUCCGUGGCCGAGUCGCUAAGGCUGGUGAUGGUGGAAGAGAAGGGUAGGGUUUACCGAGAGAAAGCAAAGGAGAUGAGGCCUAUAUUUGGGGACAAGAAUGUCCAAGAACGUUAUCUCAACAACCUUCUUAACUAUCUGAAGGAACACAGGCCUGUGAAACACACAAAAUCAAAGGGGAUCACAAUAUAAAGCAAGGAGACAUGAUGCGAAUAUCUAGUGCUUGUGCUGAGUAUCAAUGUUUGGCAAGACGUAGGCAUUUUGCUUUGUGCAUGAAACUAGAUGUAUUCUUUGGUUACGUUAAGGAGAAAGUAGUUCAUGUAUUGAUCGCUCAAUGAAUGAAGUACAAUCAAUCUAUCAUCGCAUGGGAUGUACUCCAACUGAUUUUUCAUUUGAAUUUUGAAAUUUCUCUAUUCCGAUUGACUUGUUGUUUCAUAUGUUUACACCCUAUAACAUAACUACUACAAAAAUUACCUUUCUUUUAAUUAGGACUUUGGAUAUUCUGUGCCAAAUAAUUUCAUGACCAGCACGAUUACUUUGCUAAGGGUAGAGAUUGAUAUUGGAAGAGUAAGAAAUUUAAAAGUAGUUUUCUUAGUUGAUAUGUUAGAAAAAUUAAGCUCUUAUGUUCCUCAAGGUUUAUUGAGAAGAGGAUGCAUGAUGAGUUUUAAGAUGUAUCAUGUAUGGCUGAUGAAUUAUCUAAAUUCCACGUUAGUUUGAUAAAUUGAUAUAGUAUGAUUUGCUUUGACUUAACGUGAAUGACUGCAGCUUCACUAUGUUGAGCUUGAUUUGGUUGAUUUUUACACCUAAUUUAAUUUCAUUUAUAGUCUCUCAUGGCACUAGGUUGGCUGUUGAAUUGAUCUGUCCUGCGUUCACGAGUUGUCUCGAGGCUGUUAAAAGAAUGGCAUUGGCUCUAAUCUAGUUUUAGUCUACCCAAGUCCACAUCGGACACAUGCACUGGCUAUGAAUGGAGUAGGUAAAUUGGGGCCUAGUUCAUACCUGUAUAAGAUUGACUUUCCUAAGUCUCCAUUAUUUUUAGAGGUAAAUUUCUAUAUAAAUUGGUUAUUCACAUUCAAGUUGAAUGUUCAUAUAUUGCUUACUCCAGCGAUGAUAGGCGGAUCUACAUUAGUAAGUUACUAAUUUCACUAGUAAAUUACUAUUUUCACCUCCAAAUUUGUUUUAUUGACUUAUAAAUUGCUAAAUAAAGUUAAUAGUCUACUCUUGUAUUUGACAUUCGUAAGUUGCUAACAUUUUGCGUUAUCUAAAUAGCAAUUAAACGAGUUUAUCAACGGUUUAGAAUUCACUGAAGUUCGUAUUUGCAUUCGUUAGGAGAAAGGAACCUGCCGCCCAUGAACUCAAUCAUUUUGCAGCACUAUUUAAUGGACAGACGAAACAUUGAUGACAUAAAACGUUCUCCAUAAGAAGACACAGCGAAAAUGACAACCUCAGCGAAUCACCUACAGAUACUAAAAACAAUUCACUAACUCCUAUCAACAUGAAGACGAACUCACAUUGACAAGCUAAGUAGCCUUUGAAAAUAAUGUAGCAUUGCAGACGGCAUCAGCGAGAACCAGCACUACAUCAACCCAUCUUUUUGUAGCACUAUUUUAAUGCACAGAAAGGCUGAUUGGGUUGGAAAAAUAUUGAGAAAACAUCUGAAUAUGGCACGAAAAAAAAAAGUAUUCAGAUGCAAAUAUAGAACAUAUAAGUUGGUAAAAUUCGUGCCAAAACAACUGGCCGCGUGAUUCAUGUUACUAGCGAUAAAAACUGACCACAGGUUUCAUGUUCUUGAAAAUUCAAAUGACUAAAGUACUAACAUAAAAUUAAACUUAAGGAGCAAUUACAAGUGAUAAAAAAAAGUUAACAAGAAGAAAACUUCGGGUUAUCAAAGAGCCACCAUGUUCUAUCAUAGCAAAUAAUUUUUCAUAAAUAACUUAUAUAGACAACUGACUACGAGUUUCAUGUCUUUUACGAGAGCCAUCAUCACCAACCCGACCGAUAAGGUGGAUUUUAUAAUGAUUCUAUUAAUUAAGUAAUAUAGCCAAUGGAAUAAAAUAUUAAAAUCAUCACAAAAAGUAUAUAUUUUUUUUGUACCAUGAUUGCAGAUAUUUCUUAAAUAAAUUAGCAAACAACCACUAUAAUCGUCACCAUAAAUUAUGAUUUUUUCUAUCAUAGCAUCAUCUUCUGAAAUAAAUCCCAUCUUCUUUUGUUCGUUUUUCUGUCUAACAAAAAUAAACUUAUCUCACCAAAUUCACUUCUAUUUGGGCAAAAAAAAAAGUGUCACUAAUGUAUUUACCAACUCAUUCUUAGAAUCCGUCUCUCGACGUGAUAAUUUAAUCAAUUGAUAGUCAAUUGGUCAGAUGAAAGGGGAAGGAGAGAUGAGAGAUCAACAAUCGAAUUCUAUCCUAGAAAAUUGUGGUGUAACAAGGAAAAGAUUAUUGCUAUAAGAACUAUUCUUAAUUUGGGAAGACCAUUGUCUGGAGGGAAUUAUUGGGCAGAAAAUGACGAGAUGAUAAUCUAUUUAAUGUUCUUCAUAAGAAGAUCUCUCACCCUGGGGUGGGAGACCCCGCAAUGUCAACCUUGUAUUUCCUCUCUGUUAGGAAAAAAAAUAAAAGGGAAUUAGGGGGUUUCAUGAUGGUAAAGGUAGACAUCAUGUCAAGCUUUUCAACCUUGACUACCACCGAAUAAGAUAAGUAUAAUAGCCUCUAAUGUCUGAGGUGAGUGAGGGUGUUUGAAAAUCCCAUUGCUGAGUUGGCUUGCCUUUAGACAACUGUAAACAAUGACAGGCCAACUUAGUACCCCUUGUUUACGGUUGUCUGGAGGAAAUCGUUGAGCAGAAAAUGGGCGGAUGAUAAUCUAUUUAAUAUUCUCCAUAGGAAGAUAUCUAGCAAACACUACCUUCCAACCCCUGCAACAUAAUUAAUUAAAGAGUCCUCAAAAAUAUAAUGUAAGAUAAUGCAGUGCCACAAACGUCAUGGAUGACAAAAGUUUCUUGAAUGAUGCUUUAUUUAUAGAACUUCACGGUCUUAUAAGCUCACAAACUUGUCAAUACCCACUAGAGCGUUGUAGCUUCUGCUGAGCUCUCCAUAUUUUCGUCUAUUGCGAAAUGGCAGAAACACAUGACAGUCUCCACGUAGUGAUGCUUCCAUGGUUAGCCUUUGGCCACAUGAUGCCAUACUUGGAGCUAGCCAAGUUGAUGGCUGGAAAGGGUCACCGGAUAUCAUUCCUAUUGUCCCCAGGAAACAUAGAUCGCCUCCCUAAACCCCCUUCAGACCUCGCCUCUCUCAUCAGCUUCGUGAAGCUCCCCUUACCAGCCGUCGAACAGUUGCCGGAAGGCGCCGGAGCCACCAGUGACCUGCCUUACGACAAGAUCCAGUUUCUCAAGAAGGCUUACGACAUGCUCCAAGAACCCGUGGCCCGGUUCCUCGAAUCUUCGGAUCCUGAUUGGAUCAUGUACGAUUUCGCCCCGUAUUGGGCUGGCCCGAUCUCCUCUAGGCUCGGCAUAAGGAGUGUUUUCUUCAGUAUUACGACUGCUGCCAGCUUGGGCUUCCUUGGGCCAACAUGGGCUUCAAAGGGGGGAGACUACAGGAAAACUCCGGAGGAUUUCACGAAGCGCCCCAACUGGGUUCCGUUCCCGACAAGCGUCGCAUACCGCCACUUCGAGAUCGAGAAGAUUUUCGAUGCGGUUUCGCGCAAUGCGUCAGGCGUCACAGAUUUAUAUCGCUGGGGGGCAGGCCGAGAAUGUUGUGAUAUAAUAGCAGUAAGAAGCAGCUAUGAGGUUGAACCCGAAUGGUUGAGCCUCCUCAAAGAUAUCCUCGCCAAACCAAUCUUCCCUGUUGGGCAACUUCCCCCAAGCAAUCCCGAGAUGCGAGGCGAGACCGACUCGUGGCGGUCGAUCAAGGAAUGGCUUGAUGUGCAAAAGAAGUGCACCGUGGUGUAUGUGGCAUUUGGGAGCGAGGCCAAACCAAGCCAAACUGAAUUGACCGACAUCGCCCUAGGGCUAGAGCUUUCGGGGUUACCGUUUUUCUGGGUACUCAAGACUCAGCUCGGCUCAGCCGACACCGAGUCGGUCGUGUUGCCAGACGGUUUUGAGGAGCGAGUCAGAGGGCGUGUUAUGGUUUGGGAUAGCUGGGUGCCUCAGCUCAAGAUACUCGCGCACGACUCAGUGGGCUGGUUCUUGACUCAUGCCGGGUGGAGUUCGGUUGUGGAGGCGCUAAGCUUCGGGAGAGCCCUAAUACUUUUCACAUUCUUGGCAGAUCAAGGACUAAAUGCAAGGCUCUUGGAGGAGAGACAGAUUGGGUAUCCGAUACCAAGGAAUGAGUCCGAUGGGUCGGUCACUAGGCAGUCCGUGUCCGAGUCGCUAAGCCUGGUGAUGGUGGAAGAGAAGGGUAGGGUUUACCGAGAGAAGGCAAAGGAGAUGAGGCCUAUAUUUGGGGACAAGAAUGUCCAAGAACGUUAUGUCAACAACCUUCUUAAUUAUCUGAAGGAACACAGGCCUGUGAAACACCUAAAAUCAAAGGGGAUCACAAUAUAAAGCAACAUAUGAUGUGAAUAUCUAGAGCUUCUUCUGAGUAUCAAUGUUUGGCAACAUGUAGGUAUUUUGCUUUGUGCAUGAAACUAGAUGUAUUAUUUCGUUAUGUUAAGAAGAAAAUAGUUUAUGUAUUGAUCACUCAAUGGAUGAAGUACAAUCAAUCUAUAAUCACGUGAGAUGUACCCCAUCUGACUUUAUUUUUUAAUUUUGAAAUUUCUCUACUCCGAUUGACUUUCUUCUUCAUAUGGCUACACCAUUUAACAUAACUACUAUAAAAAGUACCUUUCGUUUAAUUAGGACUUUGGAUAUUCUUUGCUAAAUAAUUUCAUGACCAACACAAUUACUUUGCUAAGGGUAGAGAUUGACAUUGGAAGAGUCAGAAAUUUAAAAGUCAACACAAACACAACAACAAAAUGCUCGUCAUUUAUUAACCACCUCAAAAUACAACACAUAGUUUAACACUUAAUGGAAUUUACUAAAGAGAUAUAAAGUAAAGGCAAUAUUCUAAUCAGAGUUAUUUCCAAUAUACCAUUAAAACAUUCAAUUGUCCUUAAGGGAACCUUAGAGAAGUUCGUAUAAACUUGACUCGGAACAAACCUUCUAGUAUAGGCAAUUAUUAAAGAUAUGGGAUAAUAGUUCAAAAAGUCCCAAACCUAAUGUACGUCGGCUAAUUCAUUUUAAAUAUUUCAGUUGUACAAAUUCAAUGCUAAACUUUUUAAAGAUAUGCCAAUGUAGUAAUUCUUGUUAAAUUUGACCGAAAAUCAUUGACGUACACAUCGACCAACCUAGAUGGCAUGGUCGGCUUCAACAUGAAUAAUUUUAGAAUUCUUUAUUUUUUGUUCUGAAUUUUUGUUCUUCUUUUUUUCCUUUUCUUUUGGGCAACAACCGAUCUUAGGCAAAGGCCACCUUCGCCAAGGCAAGGAUGAUCUUCACCCUCACUAGAUUUGGCGAGGCUAGUUGUCACCCCCCGAUCCUCUGAGCGCGUGCCUAUCCCUCAGUGGUCAAUCAAAUAGCAACGUCCUAGGACGCAUCGCCGACCCAUUCAUUUUAAUGCGCAUGCGGAAGUGAAUAAAUAAAUUCCCAUAUAACACGAAGAUGGGAUAGAAAAAUAGGGUCACAAUUUCAUAAAAUCACAACACACCUUUAUACACAAUAGACUAGGUCAUUUACAAGCUAGUCCCUAUUCACAAAAAUCUACAAUGGGUUGAUCCUCAAAACGAGCUGUCUAGCGACCAGCUAGCAAAACUCGAUCGCCGAUUCUUCAGUCUCCACGGGAGCCAAGCGAGACGUCGGGUUCUCCACCACGCCAUCGGGAGGGUAAGCUGGAUCCUCAUCCAGAACAACAUUAAUCACCACAACGGGAAUAUCAAAAGUCCUAAGGGGACCUAACCUAAUGCCAUUGGGUGCAUAGCGGAACCAUGCUCUGAAUCAAUGAGGGAACACAUAACAUGGAUGCUCUUCGACCCAAACAGUGGUCACUACAAACUCAUAGACCCAAAAGCUUCCGGGAUCGAGAUAUGCAUAAACUCGCUCAGUGACUCUCAUCGGUCCACCAUAAUGCUCAGGGGGAUCCGCUAUCUAAGGACUUGAAAAGUUAAGCCCACAACGAGGUGAGACAAUAUCUUAGCAAGUUCACCCCCUAAACUCCAACUAUGAAGGAAAUACACCUAAAGGCUACUUAUGCACACACAAGACAAAUGACUUACAUUUGCCUUUGUUCCUUCCUGCAAGUCAGUACGAUUCAAAACUCAAUCAAUCACUUCAAUUCAAAUCAAAACAUCAAAUCAAGAAAAGUCACCGAUCAAUCGAUCCAAUCGAUUCCAUACCAUCAAUGCUAUCUCUUAGUCAAUCCAUUCAAUACUAUCUAUAAAAUUCAAUCUCAUCAAGAUCUGCUUACCUUAAGCUGAAGAUAGAUAGUAUAGCUCACCAAAAGUUGAUAAAUAAUAUAGCUCACCAAAAGCUGAUAAAGUAUAUUGCUCACCUUAAACUAAUAUGUCAAAGCCCACAGGCUGAUGUAAUAUACUGAUAAUGCUCACCAAAGUUGAUAAAGUAUAUUGCUCAUCAUAAGCUAAUAUAUCAAGGCCCGCAGGCUGAUAUAGUAUACUGAUAAUGCUCACCAAAGCUGAUAAAUAAUAUAACUCACCAAAAGCUGAUAAAGUAUACUGCUCACCCUAAGCUGAUAUAUCAAGGCCCGCAAGCUGAUAUAAUAUAUUGAUAAUGCUCACCAAAGCUAAUAAUAGAUAUAGCUCACCAAAAGAUGAUAAAGUAUACUACUCACGCUAAGCUGAUAUAUCAAAACCCGUAAGCCGAUAUAGUAUACCGAUCUCAUCAAUUGACAAUUCACCAUUUUUAUGAUACACGGUAAAAAUAAUCAUGUGUGGGUACAUGGUCUGCCUUAGCCAAAGUACCAUAAUUCCUUUUUAAAAAUCCCGCCAUUUAAUAUUGUCCAUAAAAAUAUUUUUGGCAUUAUAAACCGACACCUGGUGUUUCCCGAUUAAAUACUUGAAUUACUCAAUUUUUGGAUAAAUUCCCAAAAUUACAAAUAUCACUCAAAUAGCACAAAUUAGCAUUCAAUUAAAUAAACCAACCACACAAUUGCAAUCAGCACGAAAUUCCGAUCACCGACUAUCCCGGUAUAAUUUUCGGAAAAUAAUAAAUAAUUAAAUAAAUACCAAAAAUAAUAAUAAAUACAAAUAAAUGCCAUAAAUGCAAACUUAGGCCGAAAAAGCAUAAUUAAAUACCAAAACGGGCCCAAAAAAAUUUCUGAACCUAUCUAGAUAAAUACUAUAACUUAUCUAGUCUCUAAUUACACUACUUUAAUCACCUAACAUGUAAUAACGAGUAAUUAAAUUGCUAAUCAGUUCUAAUUAACCACAUAAACCAUACUUAGCCUAAAUUAAUCAACCCUUAAGCAUCAUUAACUCCCUAAGCGGAGAUUAGUGAGUUAACUCACCGAUUUUAAAAUCCAAUAAGUUCACGGCAACAGCAAGGCGGAGAUGAGCAACAAACUCCAAAGCGGCAGCACCCUACGAUGCCUGGAAGGGGUCUGAAGUGGGCCUCGAAGCCCACAGCUUCUUGCUGGUCUCGGCUUCUGGUCAGUGGGCCGAGAGGGUUGGAACGGAGGCCGAUUGGUGUGGGAACGGUGGAGGACGAGCGAACGGGCUGUAGUGGGCUAAGCGGGGACUUCCGACGGUUGGACGUAUGGUGGCUAGCGGGGUUGGCGAUGGCAGGGGAGGGCUGGCUCGGUUCCUCUGGUUUUUCUGCAACUUUUGGGAGCUCAAACACUUUAAACAUGGAGAAAGCAAGUCUGAGGAAGAAGGUGAUAAGGCUAAAGAGAAGGGGGGUCCCUCCAAGUCUUUUAGAAGACACAAAUGUCCCCUUUGAAAUCAACCAACAUACCCCACCACUUCUGCCAUUGACCAGCAGCCCUUAUCCACCCCAAACUUCCCCAACACACUUGCCAAGAAGUCUAAAAGGUUGUGCAACAAGGGGACUACGAAUUUACAACAUUUUCCUCCAAAUUGGAUUCAAUUUGGUCUCCAUAAAUUCCACCAAGGUGUCCUCGACCAAAUUGACAUUUUUCCUCGCCAAUGGAACCAACUUGCAUUCCAAAAACAUGAUAAAAAAUGAUCCCCUAAAUUUUCCGGUCGAAGACGGCCUUACUUUUAAUUUUUGCCAAAAAUCUCGGUUUGUAGAAAAAUGUUUAGAGGAUGAAUCGACGGUCCUAAAAUGACUCGUGACAUGAUAGAACUUUUAAUUUUUGAAAUCAGAUUCAAACUCGCGGUUAAUUUCAAUUUGAAGCGAUUUUAGCAUGACAUAGCCCAUUGGGUAGCUUUCCGAAAUUUUUAGUGCAAUUGACUCAUGAUUGAUUUAUUUCGAGUCACAAUGUACAUCUUCCACACAUCGGCAACCCUUGGUUGUCGUGAAAAUUUCCAGAUUUCAAAUACAGACACAGGGUACCCAAAACGACAGAAAAAUCGAUCUAGUGCCGAUCGAUGAUAAUUUUGCAAUCGUGUGGAAUCACCCACACUUUGAUUACAUAUCUCGGCCGACUCAACCUAUCCCUGAUCUCUAGUCAAUUUUGACAAUGCCGUAAUUACCCUUGCAGAUUAGCACGGUCGAACAAUCGAUUUCUGGUCUAAUUCUCAACUCUAUUACAUUUAUAUUCCUUAAUGGCUUCACCUGAUAGGCUAGUUAUUUCAUGAAUGACCAAUUUAGAGAAAAGAACUAUAGGCACGUUGAUGAAAAGCCCAACUUAUCCGAUCGAAAUCAAAACCUGAAAAUCAAGAUGUCACACUGGCCCUUACUUGUGGCCGAUCAUAGUGAUCGCUUGGGAUUAGCUAUUGGCAAAUAAAAAAGAAAAUAAAAACUCAAAAAUUAUCCACAACAUUUUUUGUGAUGCAUAAGACCCGACCGACGUCCAUAUCGGUUAUUUCCAGCCAAAAUUGAUCGGAAAGAUUAUAUUGACAAAUCGCUGAAAGCUUUAGGACUAAACCGGCAUACAUAUACUGCAGAAAUACGAUAUUCACAAAUAUAGUUGCGUUUUCAUCUUGAUUUUCUUGUACAAAGUUCAGUCAGCCAAAGCGACGAAAUUAAUCCGCCAAAACACAACGUCCACAGCUUUUUUUUUUUUUUCGCUAAAAACAAUUCAAGCCACACACGUGACAAGCUCAAUUAAAAUGCAUCAAGAAUCAUGUUUAUACAUCCAAUGAGACUUUUCCAACGGAGGACUUUAGUUAAGUUGAAUUUACAUUACUAAAAUGAGGGAGUUCUACCGUGAAAAAAUUAAAUGCACAAGCGCGCCAUACCAUGAUAAAAUGUGUCAUGCUACAAUGAGAAGUACAUAACAGGAAAUGCUAUCUAGCAAGUGACCUAUUGAUUUUUGUUGCCCCUCCCUCCUCUGCUACCUUCUUCCCACACUGAAAAGGCGAGAACCACAUCUUAAGGAAUAACGAUAGAUGCAUUGUCAUCGAAAAGAAAAAGCCUAGUGAAAUUUACCCAAACUUAGACCACCGGAUGAACCUAAUUCAGCGAGUUUUCACACAAUAAAGGGGAAAGAAAAAGACAGAAUCUAAUGAAAGCUCAACACGAAUAUUUCUGAAUAAUAAAAACAAAAACAUGCAAAGCAGGCAGAACUUUGUCUUCAGGGAGACGGCGAGCGUACAAUCCAAUUUCCACGAUAAGCUGAUGAGAACUUCCGGGGGAAAUACUAGAAAAAAUGUCUAUAUGAUUAAUAGAUAAAGGUUCUUUUUUCUUUUUUUCUUUUCUUGUUCUUUUAUUUAAAUAUUUUUUUCACUUAAAUAAUUGAUUGAAAUUUAUGACAUUUAAGUGAGUGUUAUUUAAAAAGUCAUGGCACUUAACUAAGUGUCGUAUAAAAAUUAUGACACUUAUGAUAUGUUAAUCCAUUAUAUUUGUCACCACCCGUCGUGGUGGCUCUGCUGGAUAAGGUCCCGUUAAUCCUUGCUCUCAAGGUGAGGAGUUUGAAACCCAAGGGAGGUGCUUGGUGCAUUAACCGCUUGCACGGGGUGGUGGUUCCCUCGUGUGGCCCUAGGUUUGCUCGCCGGCUACCAGCUGCCGGCUGUACGAGGUUCUCUUGGUCAUAAAAAAAAAAAAUCCAUUAUAUUUGUCAAUUUUUUAAUAGACAAUGACUAGUUUGAACUUUUAGUGGAAAGUUUUUUUUUUUUUGGUGCUGGUGGAAUUGCCUCAACCGGUAGCCGAAGCGUAAAUCCCCAGGUGCUAUGUAAGCGGGAGGACCCACCACCCCCGGCAGCACACUUAAGUCACCAAGUAACUCCAUUAGAGCCUUUGCUUCGCAAAUGUUUCGAACUCCUCGCUUCUCUCGUAAAGGUUCACUGAAUCCUACUUAGCUGAGCCACCACGGCCGGCAGUGUGGAAAGUUAUUCAUCUGUCUGUUUGUCAUAAUUGGCUUGUUUGACAGGAAAGCUACAGCUAUCAGCGAUCUUGUCUGGCGCCUGAAAAUGACCGAUUUUGAUGGAACAGUUGAGCGCUUUUACUAAAGUGGGUUCAUUUUCUUAUAUAAUUUUUCGAUGGCAACUUUCUUAUAUCUUAAAUUAUCUUUUUUCGACCAAAAAAAAAAAUUAUCUUUCAGCACAUAUGCACACUUACAUGCAUGCGUGCAAAUGAAGAUGUUGCAAUCCUGACUAAGCUAGUAUUCACGAUGAGUUAGUUACUUAUGAUUACUGUUGAUUCUAUGCAGGGUUAAUAUGAAUAAUAUCUUUUGCAUUAUUAAGCAUAAUGUUUUAAAUGACUAGUACAUGUUGUGAUCAUAUAUAUUUGAGCUAAACUAGUCUUCUAGUAUUGUUGUUGAUAAAUUGACUAAAUGGAUUUCUUUCUCAACCAUUUCGUGAUCAUGUCUAGAAUAGAUAAUUUCAACAAAAGAAUAUUGACUAGAAUUGAUAAGUUUGGGCUUUCCAUUAGGGGCAUGUCUUUUUUACUAAUAUCAAUCCUAUAGUGCCUAAUAGAUUGCUAUGCGCAAAGAUGGCAUCUUGAUAGAUGUUGGUCUACACUAAUAUUGCCUUCCCUACUGUGUCUGAGCUUUCAAUGGAGUGAUGGACUGCACUAUCAAAAUGAGGGUAUCUGAAGUGAGCAGCCACACUGUCAAUGGCUCUUCAUUUGGGUAAAUUAGUGAUUGGGGGCUGUGUAGGGCAUCCCUUUAAACUGCAUUUGUGUGUAUUGCUGUAAUUGAGGGCUGUAAACUUUGCAUUGGAUAUCCUGUCUCUUGAACUUUGAGCUUCCCAUCUGUUGAAUGACGAGUUACUUAGAAUCCCAAAUUUGCUUUUGCGCUUAUGUUUUUCCACCUUUAAACUCGACUAUUGAAUAAAUUAAAUCCCCAAUUUCUUAGUUUUCUUAAGUAGCUGGGUUAGGAUGCCAAGUUCAGAUUUGGCAUUGACUCUUGAUAGGAACUCUAAAGCCUUCUCAGCUGCCAAGUUUAUCUGAAUUCAAUGUAUGGAAUCAGUUUUGAAUGGCUUCUCUUAAAAUAUCGUUGAAGCAUUUGCAGAAUCCUUUUUGAUACAGGAUCAGAAUAUAUGGUUGUUUUCCCUGAUUAUGAUCAAGUUGGAUUUGGUUUUUGAUGCAAAUUAAAAAUCUUUGAUAGGUUUACAAGUAUGCUGCAUCAUCAAAGGAAGAGGGGGAAGACCAGUACCAAGCUACAAUCACUUUGUACCAUCCAUCAACCUCAUAAAUUCUACUUCGUUUCCCCUUUGCAUGCGCCUAUGGGUCCUUAUUUUAAGAAGUCACUUACCCUUCAUUUUGCCUUCACAGAACCACAGAUAUGGCAUUUUUGCAGUUUAGGGUAGUUGCUAUCUGUAUGUGCCAACGUCUGGGGAUUUACAUCAUUGUAAAUGAAAAUAGAAUGUGAGUGCAACUUUUCUUCAUUUAGUGAUUCAAGAAUCAAUGUAUUUCUUGACUCCUCCGUCAUGUUUAUGAUACAGUUAUCUCCUACAGAGUUUUACAGGCACGUCAAAUAUGAAUUUUUUAGUCUAAAUCUUAAUUUUAGAUUUUAAGAGAAUCUAAUGGAUAGAAGUUUUAGUUGUCAUUGUUUUUAGGAAAAAAAAUAAAAUAAAUUAUGGUCGUUAUCUUUUGAUUGUCGAAGUUAUGCCCUAUUGGGGGAAUAUGGAAUUGAUAUUUUCACGAACGAGUCGCAAGAGUGAUGAUAUGUUGAGUUGUGCUGGGGAAGUUCAAUAACCAACAAGAGUGCAAGAAUAAAAAAAGUACUGUCUUUUGCAUCUUAAUUGAACUUUGGACUUUUUACAACUUCAGUUCUAGGUUUAUACAUUUUUAAGGUCGUCAAAUGUAUUGCUUACACAUUUUCUUAAUUAAUGUGCAAUUCCUAAACUUUGUUCCUUCCUGUCAGGGACAUAAAACUGCAUAUUUUUACUUCGUGUGUUCGAUGAUUACGACGAUGAGGCUAAAGUUUUCUCAGAGAAAUAGAUGCAUCAAUCAAACUAGCAAGUACUACACCUCAAUACGGACUGCAAUACAACAUGAAAUUCCAUCUUUAGAUUAAGGGCCCAUCAUGUUUCUGGAAAAUAUUUUCCAAGAAAAUAUUUUCCAUGAAAAUGACUAUAAUUUUCCAUGUUCAACUAAAAUCUGAAAAUGGAGUGAAAAAUAUUUUUCACAAUUUGUUAUUUGAUUUGAUAUAUUGGAAAAAAAUAUAAAAAAAUAAUUUUAAUUUUUUGAUUGACUAAAAAUAUUAAAUAUUAAUUUUUAUAUACUUUUUUAAAAAUUGAAAUUUUAAUUAUUCUUAUUUUUAAAAAAUCUAAUUUUUAUUAUUUUAAAAUUUUCUUUUUUCUUUCCUUUCCUUCAUUCUCCUUCCUCCACCGCCACAUGCCUUGAUGAUGGCUAGCUGUCUAGUGACUGAUUAAGACGCUAAUUGCUAGAUCUAGCGAGUCAUGAGCUCAUUGGUAGCUCGCUCAAUCAAGGCGAGCCCAAACUCUGUAGCUCGCCAACCUCAGCAACCUCAAGCCUCGGCCUCACUGGAUCUGGCCUUAAGCAAGGCUGGAGUUGGCCAGUGGCCAGGCAUUGGCCGCCAUCUUGGCUGGUGAAAGAAGAAAAAGAAAAUGGAAGAAAAAAAAAGAAAAAUUAAAAAAGAAAAUAUUUUCCUCACUUUUAAAGGUAUUUUUUUUUCAAUAAUGGAAUGCGUUUUCCUUGACUAGUUCAUUUUCCGUAAGAUGAACAUCGAAAAAUUCAAAAAACGUUUUCUCAGAAAUUAUUUUUUGUAAAAUGAAUAGAGCUCAAGUAAAAAGUAGUUUUUUUAAGCGAAAACAAAUGGAACCUUAGUUGAUAUGUUAAAAAAUUAAGCUCUUAUGUUCCUCAAGGUUUAUUGAGAAGAGGAUGCGUGAUGAGUUUUUAGAUGUAUCAUGUAUGGCUACUGAAUUAUCUAAAUUCUACGGUAGUUUGAUAAGUUUAUAUAGUAUGAUUUGCUUUGACUUAACGUGAAUGAAUGCAGCUUUACUAUGUUGAGCUUGAUUUGGUUGAUUUUUACACUAAUUCAAUUUCAUUUAUAGUCUCUCAUGACAUUAGGUUGGCUAUUGAACUGAUUUGUCCUGCGUUCACGAGUUGUCUCGAGGCUGUUAAAAGAAUGGCAUUGGCUCUGAUCUAGUUUUAGUCUACCCAAGUCCACGUCGGACACAUGCACUGGCUUUGAUUGGAGUAGGUAAAUUGGGGCCUAGUUCAUACAUGUAUAAGAUUGACUUUCCUAAGUCUCCAUUAUUUUUAGAGGUAAAUUUCUAUAUAAAUAGAUUAUUCACAUUCAACUUUCGUAUAUUGCUUACUCUAGUGAUGAUAAACAGAUCUACCUUAGUAACUUACUAAUUUCACUAGUAAUUUACUAUUUUCACCUCCAAAUUUGUUUUAUUGACUUAUAAAUUGCUAAAUAAAGUUGAUAGUCUACUCUUGUAUUUGACAUUCGUAAGUUGCUAACAUUUUGCGUUAACUAAAUAACAAUUAAACGAGUUUAUCAACGGUUUAGAAUUCACUGAAGUUCGUAUUUUCCUUUCUUUGUUUGCAUUCGUUAGGAGAAAGGAACCUGCCGCCCAUGAACUCAAUCAUUUUGCAGCACUAUUUAAUGGACAGACGAAACAUUGAUGACAUAAAACGUUCUCCAUAAGAAGACAUAGCAAAAAUGACCUUCCAACCUGAGCGAAUCACCUCACAGAUACUAAAAAAAAUUCACUAACUCCUAUCAACAUGAAGACGAACUCAAAUUGACAAGCUAAGUAGCCUUUGAAAAUAAUGUAGCAUUGCAGACGGCAUCAGCGAGAACCAGCACUCCAUCAACCCAUCUUUUUGUAGCACUAUUUUAAUGCACACAAAGGCUGAUUGGGUUGGAAAAAUAUUGAGAAAACAUCUGAAUAUGGCACGAAACAAAACAAAAAGAAAAGGUAUUCAAAUGUGUCACGACCUACCCUUAGGGGAGGGAACGGGUUUAGGGUAUUGCCUAAAGGACGGGCCUAAGGCCCAUGAUUAGGCGUGAGCUCUCCAAAGCUCAUACCCUGCGUGACAUUUAGAUAUUUCCUAUGAAUUUUGCACAAAAUGAGUCGCCACUAGCCUAUUGGGGUCAGUUAGAAACCAAGUGAGGCAUGUGAGUGUACCUUACUUCGUACGCAACUAGAGAAUCUAAAGUCGGGGAUUUGAUUACAUUAAUUGGUCAAUUAAUGCCCUUUCGGUACAUAAUCUUGUUCAUUUUAACAAAAUGAUUUUUUGUCAAGCAGUUUGAAUUGAUUUUACUCAUCCACAAACAUAUUAAAGUGAUCAUACGGGUGUAAUCUAAACACAUACUAUUAAACAUACCAUAUGACUACACACAUACCAUUAAAAAUAACAAGAUAUACAAUCUAAACAUGCAAUGUAAUCAAAAUAAAUGCAUAAUUACACCUAAAACGACAACACCUAGCAAUUCCUAACCAAACUCUAUCAUUUUUUAAUUUUCGAAAUUUUUUAAUUUUUUAAUUUUUUUAAUUUUUUAAUUAAUUAAUUUUUUAAAUUUUUUUAAUCAUUAAUUUAAUUUUUUUAAAAUUUUCUCAAAAAAUUAAAAUUUCGAUUUUUUUAAAGAAUUUCCGAUUUUUUUAAAUUUUUCUUUUUUUUUAAAUUAAUUUUUUUAACAAUUUUUUUUAUUUUCGAAUUUUUUUUAUAAUAAAUUUUUGGGAUCGAACUGGGUCGGAUCUGGUCUAAUCCGACCCGGCUCGGCCUGGUCAGCAGAGUCCAACCUAGUCUAAAUUUUUUUGUUUUAAAAUGAAGCCCACAAAUCCUAUGCACUAAAACGGCCCAAAACGAAGCCCAUUCCUCUAUUCCUUUUUUUUUUUUUUAUUCUUUUUGUGCUUUUGUUUUUGUUUUUUUUUCUUUUUACCCCCUUUUCGAUCGUCUUCUUCGGAGCCUCCCCUCCCGCAGCCGCAACAUGCCGAAGCUUCUGCAGCUCCUUUGCCGUUUCGACACCGACAACACCACGAGUUCUGACCGCCCUAAGGAAGUCGUCGAACCACUGCUGCUCACCAGUCGUCCCCCUUGUCCAGUGCUAGUUACCUAUUCCUGCAACCCCUAAUCUAUUUCCGACGAAAUGAGUCCUCGGUCCAACUACAUGCCAAUAUGUCACGCAAACCAUCCGAAAACACAACGAAUCAGGGCAAAGCAACAAGGAUUCAACAAGCAUGGGGGGAAAAAUGAAUGGGUCCGGUGUUAAAACGCGAGCUACUCCUCGGUUUUCUUUGAGGAAUUUUGUUGAACACAUGGUUUGCACUACCAAACUCGAAGGAUUUCGGCUCAACCGAACACCAAACACGCUUUAGGGGUCUCAAGAUAUAACAUAGAAGGACAGGGGAGCAAAGAGCAAAGACGACGUGGACCGGAGCUCACGAGAACCGGUCGACCAUGAGCUUCAGCCCAGCGUUUUUCGAAAACAAGACCGCGGGGUUCGGGAGACCUACCUCGUCCGGUGAUGGGCUACGGCGGACAAUGGCUGGCGAACGAACUUCUGGCGACGACGGGCUGCUCCCUUGAGCUUCCUGCCUUUGAUUCAGCCUCUCUUUCCCUCCGUGUUCCUCUCUCGCUCUCUCUCAGCCUUGUGUUUUUUUUUUUUUUGGUUCGGAUCCUCUCCUCCGUGUUGAUUCUGUUCUCCGGUUUUUAUGCCCGGCCAGCAAGCGCGCCUGGCUCCUACAGCUGCUAGCUUGCCAGCCAGACUGCACCCCUGACCCGCGGAUCAUGACAUUCACCUGCCAUCGAUCCUCUGCCGCCCCUGUUUUCGCUGCCCUCCUGCUACUCUGUCUUCUGCAAGCUUCGAGCGAAGACCAGCAAAAGAAAAGAAAAAAAGGGCUGGGCCGGUCAAAAUGAGAGAAUGGGCCAGGCCCAACGCGCAGGGGAAGAAAAGAGAGAGAAAGGUGGGUCGGGCCAUGGUCAAAUCCGGCCUAACCCGACCAUUUUUUCGUUUUUUUUUCGAAAUUUUUUUUAACUCUCUUUUUUGAAUAAUAACCAUUUUUGUGACUAAUUCCUAACCUGUAACACUACUUUAAAUUAAUUAAUUUGGGUAAAAAAUUAGGUGUCAACAGCUGCCCCUCUUUGAAUGUAGCCUAGCAGAGGUUGCAUUCAAAGACAGAAGACACUUAAAUUAUUUCGACGGUAGAGAAACCCUAGGUGCAUAUGCACGUAUUAGAUCGAUGGAAAUGACGCAUAACUAUGAAAGCGCGUUUUGUCAAUAAAAGGAAGAAAGACUUCGAGCUACGGAAAGCCCACCGGGUCAUAAGAAGAAUGAUAGGGACUCCAGGCUACAGAAAGCCCACUGGGUCAUAAGAAGGGGGUUGAAGGACUCCGGGCUACGGAAAGCCCACCGGGUCGUAAGAAGGGGGUUGAAGGACUCCGGGCUACAGAAAGCCCACCGGGUCGUAAGAAGGGGGUUGAAGGACUCCGAGUUACGGAAAGCCCACCGGGUCAUAAGAAGGGGAGAAAGAAGACUCUGGGCUACAGAAGCCCACUGGAUCGUAAGAAGAUGACAUGGUUUAAGGUUGACCAUGAACCUUUGGAGAUGACAUGAUUUAAGGUUGACCAUGAACCUUUGGAGAUAGCACGGUUUAAGGCUGACCAUGAACCCUUGGUUUUUAGGAAGGCACAUGCUAACCCUUUGAAAACUACAUGGCUUCAUUGAGAAAUCCUGUCAAACUCAACUUGAGUGAAUGUCAUUAGAGACAUCAUUAAGAGACGUAUUGGCAAUAUUGUAGCAUUAAUUGAACAAGCUAAUCAAGCUAAGUCCAACUGCUUUGGAAAAAACAUUUGAUUUCAAUCAGCAUCAUGUGGCGCAAAAUUGUCAUCUUGCUCGUGGAUAUAUCAUUGAUCAUUAAAUUCUCUAGGAGCCAAGUUCUUAUCAGAAUGGCUACGACUCGUGAAAAAGGUUCAUUAGGCAUGCCAAACUAUAGCUUUUAGUCAGAAAGGGCUUCUCACGCACUUUUGAUAAAAUGGCUGCUUAAUCUCAUCCAUUCAUGUGGGAGAUAAUUGGUGGCUGAGGGUAUCUCACAUAACCCAGAUCAAAGGCUUUCAGAAACAUUCGAUAUGAGCACAAUCUGAUCGAUCAAAAAGGUCUUUUGAAAUGAUCGCAAUAUAGGCUCGUUUAGGGCUUACACAAAGGAAUUAUUGCUUUGAGGCUAAUAGGGGAGCAUUUGUUGCUAUCUUCGUCGGGUUUACAAGUCGAGAACUUGAAAGAUAAGACAAGAUAGGAUUACUUCCACUUCUUCAAGCAAUAGCUUCUUUGUGGCAUUCUCAUUUUUACUCGAACCAUCCCAAUUAGAAGAGACUUCGAAAGAGAGUUGUAAUGUUGGCUUGGGAAAGGCUUGAAAGGCUUAAAAUUCUCAAUGGGGUUUUUAAGAGUCAGUGAUCAUCAUAGCAUCGUGACCAUGUCAUUCGAUCUUUCGAAGUCACUUGGCUUUUGAAACACAGCACAUCUCGAAAGUCCCUUGAUUAAUCAUUUAUGCAUGGAGGUUCGCUCCUCUCUAAUUUCUUUUGCACUUGCGAUGAUUUUUUACGCAGGCACUUGGACUUUGAUAAUUUUUUUUCACAUAAGAUGCAGCUUUUAGUUUUUUUCUUGACAGGCAUUGGCAUUGCUUUUACUAGGCAUACUGCUUUUUCAUGCCCCCUAAUUUGUCGAACUUUUUGCUCUUUGAACUUUUGUAGCUCUUAUGACUUUCGAGAUGCUUUUCACAUUUUCUCGUGACUGUCAUUUGUAUUUGGUCAAUUCUUAUGACUUGCCCCAGUGAAAGGGGAUGAUCACUGCUCAGGGUUCAGAAAUUAAUAAUCAGGCCCAAAUUGGUUAAAACAAUGGAUAUCAGUGUUUGGGUAGAAAAGGAAAUGCUCUUCUUCACCUUGGGAUGAGUCAAGCUUUAAUGAGAAUUCAUUUGAAGCUAUCACUAGAAGAUUGAUGCAAGUGAAAGUAAUAUAAUAUUUCCCAAUCUUUCAUUCUACAACAUGAUCAUAACCUCCUAUGAUGCCACAGUGUAGGGUUGUUCUUGACAAUGGUACUUUAAAGUAUCAUCUUUUUUUUUCCAGCCCAAAGUGAUAACAGGAGAUUAGUGCAAUGCCUGGGAUUGAUGAAGGGAACGCCUUUAUCAUUUCGAUCUUUGUGCUCAAUGCGAAUGAAUCAUUCGUCCUAAGAAAAGGUCGAUCUUCACUCAACUCUCAAAAGCGUCUGGAGGAUGUGUCUGGAAAUGGGCUUGCCUUUCUUCAUCCUAAGUACUUCUUGUUUGGCAUGGUUAACCUUUCACUCUUUUGCCCGAAUAAAGUCAUUUUUAUGAGCCAUUUUUCUUGAGGGUCGCAGAUGUGAAGCGUGCAUAGUGACACCAGAGAAUAGGUCAUGUGAAUCAUGUCAUGCAUUUUUUGUUUUUGUCCUUAUUCUUUUGUUUGUUUGUUUGUCCUCUUUUUUAUCAUCUCGACUUACCUCUCAAAAGAGACAUUCAACCUGUUGUGCGAAGACUUGAUGGAUUCUUGAGUCAGUUCUUUCCCUUGCCAUUUCCUCGUUAGACGGUAGGGUGCCUGAAACACAAGUAGAUAUGCGUGUAUGCAACGUAUGCAUGAUAUCUGCAAUGCUAUGCAUGAUGCUAUGUGACUUGAAUUGUGCAUGAAGUGGCCCCUCGGCCUUAAUUUCAUUCAUGGAAAAUACUUCUUGACUGCAUCAGCAUUGAUAGGUCUAGGCAAUUCACUGUCAUCCAUUUCAACUAAAAUCAUGGCACCACCAGGAAGAAUCUUCUUAAUGACAUACGGUCCUUCGUAGUUCAGGGUGAAUAUGCCACGAGGAUCUGGUAUGAUUGGAAGCACUUUCCUCAACACCAGGUCGUUGACUUCGAAGUGUCUGGGACGCACCUUUCGGUUGAAGGCUUUUGCAACUCGUCUCUGAUAGCACUGACCAUGACACAUAACUUGCAAUCUCUUCUCAUCGAUCAUGUUUAACUGCUCAUGCCUUUGCUGCAUCCACUCAAUCUCAUCAAGCGUAGAUUGAGAAAGGACCCUUAAAGAAGGGACUUCAACUUCAACAGGCAAGACUGCCUCCAUCCCGUACACGAGUGAGAAAGGAGUUGCCCCCGUGGAGGUGCGGAUAGAAGUUCGGUAUGCCAUUAGCGUGUAAGGAAGCCUAUCGUGCCAAUCACAAUAAUUUUCAGCGGUCUUUGAUAAGAUUUUCUUUAUGAUCUUGUUCGCCGCCUCCACUGCUCCAUUCAUUUGAGGACGGUACGGUGACGAGUUCAAAUGCUUAAUUCGAAACUCACUAAACAAACCAUCCACGACUUUGUUGUUCAAAUUAGUGCCGUUGUUGAUAAUGAUUGCCUCCGGCACCCCGUAACGAGUGAUAAUGUCACGACGAAUGAACUUUGCCACACUCUUGGCAGUAACAUUAACAUACGAGUUGGCCUCAAUUCAUUUGGUAAAAUAGUCUAUCGCCAUCAAGAUAAAUCGAUGCCCAUUUGAAGCUUUAGGGUUAAUGGGCCCGAUCACGUCAAUUCCCCACAUUGAAAAGUGCCAAGGUUGAGACAUUUGGUGAAGUUCAAUUGGAGGGACAUUUAUCCUGUCUCCAUAAAUCUGGCAUUGAUGACACCGUCGUACGUGCUGAAUGUAGUCAGACUCCAUGGUCAACCAAUAAUAACCGAGUCGCAUGAUCUUUCUCACCAAUAAGUGUCCAUUCAUAUGGGGGCCGCACUCCCCUUCAUGUAUUUAUUUCAUCAACCGAUCGGCUUCUUUAGCAUUGACACACCUUAGCAAUGUCAAGUCGAAGGACCUUUUAUAGAGGACAUUUCUACUAGUGAAGAAUUUUGAUGCUAGCUUUAUCAAAUGCUUUCUGUCCACUGCUUCACUUCCUUCGGGGAAUUCACCCUUCUGUAGAUACUUCAUGAUGUCGUGAUACCAAGGUUGUCCAUCCAGUUCCUCUUCAACCGUCAUACAAUAAGCCGAGUGCCUAAGGAUUUCAAUUCUCAACGGUUCAAUGUCCAAGCCUCCAACUACUUGCAACAUCGAAGACAAAGUAGCUAGGGCAUCAACGAACUAAUUUUGAGACCUUGGUAAGUAUUCGAAUGAUAUUUCUUGGAAUUCUUUCGUCAACUCCCCUAGGAACUCAUGAUACAUAAUCAAUUUAGAAUCCUGUGUUCGCCAUUUGCCUUCAGUCUGUAAAAUGAUAAAGGCUGAAUCACCAUAAACUUGCAACUUCCGAAUUUCCAUAUCAACGGCGGCUUGGAGGCCAAGAAUGCAUGCUUCAUAUUCAAUGAUGUUAUUUGUGCAAGAGAACGUCAAUUUAGCAGUGAUGGGAUAAUGUUGUCCAUCCGGGGAGAUAAGAGCUGCCCCAGUACUUGACCCGACUAAGUUAACCACACCAUCAAAGUACAUUGUCCAUUUGUCACUUGAUACAAGUGAAAUUCGCUCUUCUGCAUUACUAUCCUCAUCAAAUGCUCUGGACCUCUCGGAAUUUUCUACCAAUAUGUCUGCUAUGGCUCGACCUUUAACAAACUUCUGUCCCAAGCUUUGAACAUCAAACUCAGAAAUUAAGUUUUGCCACUUGGUCAACUUGCCAACCAAUGCUGGCUUCUCUAGGAGAUACCUGAUGGGAUUAUUUUCGGUCACCAACAAGAUUCGGUGAUGAAGUGUGUACUGCCGCAGCCUGUGCAAGACACAAAUUAAAGCCACACAAGUUCUCUCAGCUUCUGUAUAGUUCAUCUCGGAAAUAGUGAACUUCUUGCUCAAGUAGUAUAUUGCACAUUCUCUCCCAUCAUUUGGUCUUUUCUGGGCUAGCAUAGCUCCCAAUGACUCGUCAUGUAUGGUUAAGUAUAAAAUCAGGGGAAUUUUAGAGAGUGGGGGCACUAAGACUAGUGCAUGAGUGAGAUAAUGUUUUAUUUUCUCAAAGGCACCCCGGCACUCGGCAUUCCACUUAAUCUUUGCAUUCUUUUUCAUGAGCUUGAAGAAUGGCUUCACCGUUUCAGACAACUGACAAAUGAAUCUUGCCACAUAAUUAAGUCGUCCCAUCAGGCUACGGACUUCUUUGAUGGUAGUCAGGAGUCGUAAAUCGUAAAUGGCUUUAACCUUCGACGGAUCAAUCUCUAUGCCCCUAUUACUAACCAUGAAUCCUAAUAACUUCCCAGAUUUCGCUCCAAAAACGCAUUUUGCGGGAUUGAGGCGCAACUUGAACUUUCGAAGACGUUCGAACAACCUUCGCAGGACUUUAACAUGAUCUUCACCACGUCUCGAUUUCACAAUCAUGUCGUCGACGUAUACUUCGAUUUCCUUGUGCAUCAUGUCAUGGAAUAACAUGACCAUGGUCCUCUGAUACGUUGCCCCAAUAUUCUUUAAACCGAAAGGCAUCACUUUGUAGCAGAAAGUUCCCCAAGGAGUUAUGAAUGAUGUUUUGCUCCUGUCUUCCUCUUUCAUACGAAUUUGGUUAUAUCCAGAAAAGCCAUCCAUGAAGGAGAAUAAUUCAAAUCCCGCCAUACUAUCAACUAAGACAUCGAUAUGUGGGAGCGGAAAGUCGUCUUUGGGACUUGCUCGAUUCAAGUCGUGAUAGUUAACACACACCCUGAUUCGCCCAUCUUUCUUCAUUACGGGUACGAUAUUUGCUACCCAAUCAGGGUAACGAGUCACUUUGAUAAAGUCUAUUUUCAGUAGUUUCAUCACUUCUUCUUCAAUCUUCUUGGACAACUUUGGUUUAGUUCUCCUGAGUCUUUGCUUCUUGGGUGGCACAUUGGGAUCCAUUGGUAAAGCAUGUUCCACAAUUUCAGGAUCCAAUCCCGGCAUGUCAGCAUAUGUCCAGGCGAACACAUCUUGAUACUCUUUCAGGAGAUUAGUCAUCCUUUCCACUUCUGACUCUGAGAGACAUGCCCCGAUUUUUACUUCCUUGACAUUCUCUACAUCACCCAAAUUUAUGGUGAUUGUUCACUCUUCGGUCAACGGCUUCGAUUCUUCGUGUCGAUUCCAUUCGCGCUCGAUCACCUUCUGAUCGUCAUCAUCGGUGUCAUCGGAAUCUGAGGGACUUUCUUCAUGCACAUCUGAGUCACAUGCGUCCUUAUCAUGAUUAUGCAUAAUGUAAUGCCUGAAAUGUGAUGAGAUGAGUUAGGGUAAUGUCAACAACAAAGACGAUGCAUGUCAUUUUCAAAAAAUUUUGAAGUAUUUUUGUAAAAAUUCCAAGAACUCGUCCUCAUAUCCUCGGAUUUCCUCGUUCUUGCAAAACAGUCAAAUAAGGGAGCAUGUGGAGACCUAGGCCUAAGCGACCAUCAUAGGGCUAGUUUGAUGUGUCUCCACAUGUCUUUAAUAAAACAUGUGUCUAUUUUAUUUAAUGAAGAGAGAUAAGGCUGUAUUUUAACACACACCACCCUUGACCAACGGCUCAAGAUCGGGGUUGACCAAAGUUUACGUUACAAAUGACAUGAACAGAAAACAAAGAAAGAAAAGCUACGAGAUCCCACAUAGGGGAGAAGACAUAAAAUGAAAGACUAAGCUCAACGAGAACCGCCCUACUCUUGAGGGACAGCCAUAACUUCAGAGGACUCAGCUUCCUCGCACGCCAUGAUGGUGCAUAUGACGUCCUCCUCGAAUAGCUCGGUCACACCAUAGACAUCCUCCUCUUCCUCAAACAUCCCUGGGGGUCCUGAAAACGUCUCCUCCAGCAACGGGGAAAGCGGGCUUUGAUAGCCCUCGUCCUCUCCAGUCUGGGCAACGCAUUCACUCUGGUCUCUGUACCCGCUUCGGCCUCCUCGAGCACCUUGGCCUCUAUGCCUUCCACAGCCUCUUCGGUUGUUAUGGCCUCCUCGCUUCUCAACAUAUCUUAAGCCUCUUCUUUUGAAAUUUUUACGAGCUUCAAUGGGUUUUCGCACACCCUGGCCAUGCAAUCCAAGACCCUCCCCAGGAUUAUAUCCGCUUGCUAGCAUGAUCUUUCCCGCAGCUAUAGCUAGCCUAGACAAUUCGGGAGCCCUUGUGAAGGAGCCCGUAGGCACAUGAAUCAUGGACACCAGCUCUAAUGUUUGAAAGCUGGAUUCCUCGGUACAUUCGGGCUCCACAUAAGGGAUGGCCGUCUCGUGGUAGAUCUUGAAAUCAAACUCUCCAUGGACCGUGACAAGCCUGUUGUCCACCACAAAUCGUACUUUCUGAUGAAAGCUGGAUGCAACAGCACCCACCGUGUGGAUCCAUGGCCUCCCUAGUGAAAAAUUAAAAGCGCUUGGUAUAUCUAACACUUGGAACGGGAUUUGGAAAAGUAUAGGGCCAAUCAGCAGCUUAAGUUCAAUUUCCCCUAUCACCUCCUUCUUCAUCCCGUCAAAAAUCCGCACAGUUGACUUGCCAGUAUGAAUUCUUCCAAGAUCGGUGCCGAGACGGUGGAGUGUAGCCAACAAGCAUAUAUUGAGCACCGAACCAUUAUCGAUCAACACUUUGCAAACAAGAGUGCUCUCAUGCUUUACCAAAAUGUGUAAUGCUUUGGUGUGAUUAGGGCCCUCAGGGGGGAGAUCUUCAUCAGUAAAGGAGAUUUGGUCCUUUUGUAGAAUGGCCCUAACAAACUCUUCUAAUUGGACUUCAUCGAUUGAUUCUAGCACGUGCACCUCAUUAAGGACUUUAAGCAAAAUAUCCCUAUGUUUCUCAGUAGAUUUGAAUAAUUCUAGGAGGGAGAUUUGAGCCGGCAGCUUCUGCAGUUGAUCCACCACAUUGAAUUCACUAGACUUUACUACGACCAAGAGUUGCUUUGCCUCCUCCUCAGUCAUGGUCCUUUUUUCUACUCCUUUAUCAGGGGCGUAACAACAUCCUGAUCGUGUGACGGCAUCUACCUCAGUUGUUCUAUAGUCCCAAGGUACAGCUUUGGGAUCAAAUUUGGGAGGAUUCUCCAACACUAUCACUCAAUCUUUUCCCCAAGGUGGCAAUUCUAUCGUGACUGGCGUUGCGUUCCCUCCCGUGACUUCAAUUGCCGACAUCUCCUCGACCAUAAGGUCAAUCACCAUGGGUUCAGUGAUUUCCAUCUUAAUAUGAUUAGCGGGCUCCUCAUCAGGUAGUUCAAUCACCAUUGGAGUUAUCAUAGCUAUCACCCAUUCCUCAUACAAAGCUGGAGUCUUCGAAAUUCCAGGCAUAACCUUCUUUGCCCGAGAUAUACAAGCAAACUUGCGGAAAGAAGAACGGAAUGAUGAUGGCAUUAUCAUGGACACGACCCCCUCCUCUUCUUCUCCACGUCGAAUUACCCCCAUCACUAUCAUCCUACGGACGCGGUUCAACUUCUCUUCUAGAGUCACAUCAUCCUGACCUCCAUAGUAUCCUGCCAGCACUAAGGAAUCGUACAACCUAGAAGCAUCCACCACUAAAGGCUGUUGACUCGCCUGCGUCUCCUCAGAAAUUGAGUUCACUCCCCCUGCAUGAUUUGGUAGAGAGUUUUGUUGCACGUUAGGUUAGGCCCUUGAAAGUCAAGAUCUUCUUGUCCAAAAGCUAUUGAACUUUAUAUCUCAACACGUUGCAAUCAUCUACAUCAUGCCCCAUUUCUCCCAUGUGGUAUUCGCAGGUCUUGUUCAUAUCGGACCCGGUGAACCUCGGGGGAUUGUCCCUUGGUACUUCCUUCGCGACCAUCCUCUUUUCGAGGAGCAUGGGCAACAGCUUUGACAGCGGGCGUGGCAGUGGAGAAAAAUCCUUUUGAAAAGGCCUCUUGACAUUAUCAUAUGAUCGUGACAAGCUACCUUGGACCAUUAUGGGUUUAUGCGCGAGUGUUGAGAAUGAUCGAGGGAAAGGUAGCUCCUGCACAAGCGCUACUUCAAUUGCGGCCUCCUUAUCUUUUCUUGCCAGAAAUUUUUUCGUGCCUCCAGUUGAAAUCUUUCUCUCAACCAUUGCCCAUUUGACUCCUUCACCUACCUCAACUAGUUGCGAAAAUGUCUGGCAACCCGAGAACACUAACCAUUGGAAGUAUUCAGGGGGCAAUGUCUUGAGGAACAGUCGUUUCAUCUCCCUCUCAUUCAAGGCCGACUUCACUUGUGAGACCAUGGUCCUCCACCUUUGCGUAAAGGCCUUAAAUGACUCGUUCCUCUUCUUCUCAAUACGGGUCAAUUCUUCCCUCGUGGGGGCGAGCUCGGUAUUAAACUAGUAUUGUUGCAAGAACUCAUUAGUUAAAUCUUCCCAACUAGUGAGUUCUUCAAUGUCCAGUGCAAUGAACCACGUUAGGGCAAUGCCUUCCAAGCUAUUUUGAAAUGUGUGUAUGAGAAAUGGCACGUUGUUAGCGUAGCGAGCCAUCUUCCUCAUGUAAUAUCCGAGGUGGGUCUUAGGACAUCCCGUUCCGUCAUAUUUUCUUGUGAACUCUAGCUCCUGGAAGUUCUCAGGAAAAUUCGUCUUGGUGUAUGGAGACAGCCUAUCAGCCCCUUUCAGCUCGUAACCUUACAAGGCACACAGUCACUCCUCCAUCUUUGCCAAACGUUUUUCACUAUCUUCGCUUAGGCGAGGUGUUGGGUUUUCUUUCGGAGGAGGAUCCAGAUUGACGAUGAUUAGCGUGACAGAAGGAGCCUCCCCGGCAAUUUCUUUCCUGGGGGGAUCAGCAACGUGCGUGCCUUCCGUCGACGCCGGAGUAGAUGUUCCCGUAACAGCUACAGUAGGGGGCUCCUUGAGUUUCUAGCUUAUUUCAAGCAUAAUUGUGGUGAGUUGGGCCAACUGGUCCUCCAUCUUGGCCAUGUGUAUAUUAGUGUCCUCGUUCUCCAUUCUGACUUUCACGCACAUGCGAAUUGGGGAUCUUCGCUUGGCCGUGUCGACGAUCGGUAAAAGACAAUCAAUCGAUUAAUACCUUAACAAGGAUAGAUAAGUAUGUAUAAGCAGGGAGUAAUGAUUAGGCGGCCGGUCCAUGACAAAGAUCUAAUCGCCCCAAUUUGCUUAUUUCAUUGAAAGCAGGGUUGCUACAUAACGCAGGAGAAGACAUGAGGGAGAACCCCUAAACAACGAAGCUAAUCAUGACUCUUAUCUCCCGAUAACGCAACUCGAGACAAAUUUUUUUUUUUAACAUUAUAACAUGUGGGCAUGGGCCCAUUACAUAUCGCACUUGACUCAAUCUAACUAACGAGGACAGCUCCCGCUUGUGAUCGCCCCACUAACUCGGGUCGACUUCGAGGCACGCUCCUCGACUUCUUGGAGCUUCCUUUUGAGGCGCUUGAUCUCGGCUCUGUGGAUGGUCUUUAAUGACACAACGAGAAUCUUUGGGCGUAGGCUCUCUGGGAUUUUAUGCCUAAGGAUGUAUUCCAUUGAGGCAUAGUAGGUCUUCUCUUGCCCUUCCAACUCCUCUUUGGGCCAUAUAAGCUUCCGAGGAUGGCACAUAUCCCACAUCAACUUGACUAAUGCAACAGAGUCUUCAUGAUCUUGGCAUCCAUCAGGGAAGUCUAUCCUGAGUGGGUCUUCUUGAAUCAUCAGUGGAAGUUGUUGAACCUCUUGGAAUUGACGGGCGACUCGGGUUGGGUAAUACUUGGUGACUCUGGUAAUUCCCAACAAAGGAACAGGUCUAAUAAGCCCACACACGAACCGCGCUUCUCGAACUCGGAGCCAUUUGGCAUGCCAUUGGAAAUGUUCGGGUCCAGGGUUAGUCAUGAAAGCUAACCACUCAAAAUAGUGAUAGUCGGGGGCAAACGUCUUCAUAUCUUUAAACUUCAGGAUAGGGUGGCUAGAGUCAGAGAUGUCAUUCACGGUCAUUAGACUACCAAACCCUUUAACAUGAGAGAAGAACCAAAUUUGCAAGAGUUCAGGAAGAGCGUGGAAAGUUUUGUUUUUGUUUUCUUUGAAACAAGUAAGGGAAAGAAAAGUUUCAGUCAGGACGGCGUUAACAAAACCCUUUCCCAUACAUACCUCAUGAACUACCCAUGCCACAGAAGGGUUAAUAGCGUUCCUACAAUGUGGGAAUAACAUGAACUCAAAGAAAGCUAACAGGAAGAUCCUAUUCUUUUGAAAGAUGGGGCAUUUUGAAAAAGCUCAUUUAGGAAUGAAAAUGGGCAAGUCUUGCGAUUAGCUUUCAAAACUUUCCUCACGUCAUCCUCCUUAGCUCUAAGGAAAUCAGAUAAGGUCGAUGCAUGCUUAGUCCCUACAGGUGGGCCAAUUAACUCAUACACCAAGGGCUUUCCCAUGGCAACACUGUAUUCUUCCAGGGUUGGAGUGAGUUCGUGAUCACUGAGUAUGGACGUGCAAGUUUCGGGGCACCACACAUGCGCUAACGCUUGUACUACACCAGAAUGAGUUUCUAUCUCUAAUAGGGGAAGUAAACGUCCAACAUAUGAUCGCACCCAAUCAUAGCCAAUUGGAUCCAAUUUAUUCCACCACGCGCGAAGCUCGGCUUUCGGGACGGAGAUGAUGCGAAGGUCGGGUACCCCCAUCGUAUGAUUAACCUAAUUCGUCAUGGACCGACCAAAAUGAAAGCAAAUAAGUAAAUUGUGAAGAAAAGAAUUCAAGAAAAACUUACCCUACUCAUUAAGCAUCGAUGUAAAGGUCAUGGACAUGUGCAUGGACAGUGGUUCGAUUUCUACUCUAGAUGGCCCAAAAUGAAGCCAUGUGAUCACAGGACUGAACCAACAAGCUCGUGGCUAGAUCGUGUUACCCAUGACUCCGGCUUUAUCAAAGGACCGACCCGUGUCACAUGCUCGCAGACUAGGGUGGGGACCUCUGACAUCAAAAAAGAAAUUUCGGGGUUAAGGAGGGCGACUCGUACUACAUGCUUAUAGUUGGAGUGGUAUCCACCUCAACACCAUCCUAAAUGACCUAUGCGGCCCAAGUCCGGUGGCAGGUAAUGUGUGCUAUAGUGUAGUGCAAUGCAGGGGACUCAUGCAUGACAAUUUAAAAACAAUCAGCACUUCAAACAUAGAUAAACCAUUCACUCUUGCACCCUCUACAAAACAAAGGUUAGAAAUCACCACCCCUUAAACAAUCAACAUUCGACAUGUUAUGGAUGCACAUAAUAUCUUCGCUGCCAAACAAAAAUAUUUUUGAACAAAAUUAAUUUUGGCCUAAGUCCUUUAAGGUUUAAAACCAAGUCCCCAGCGGAGUCGCCAAGCUGUCACGACCUACCCUCGGGGGGAGGGAACAGGUUUAGGGGUAUUGCCUAAAGGACGGGCCUAAGGCCCAUGAUUAAGCGUGAGCUCUCCCAAGCCCAUACCCCGUGUGACAUUUGGAUAUUUCCUAUGAAUUUUGCACAAAAUGAGUCGCCACUAGCCUAUUGGGGUCGGUUACAAACCAAGUGAGGCAUGGGGGUGUACCUCACUUCCUACGCAACUAGAGAAUCUAAGGUUGGGGACUUAAUUACAUUAAUUGGUCAAUUAAUGCCCUUUCAGUACCUAAUCUUGUUCAUUUUAACAAAAUGAUUUUUUGUCAGGCAGUUUGGAUUGAUUUUACUCAUCCACAAACAUAUUAAAGUGAUCAUACGGGUGUAAUCUAAAUACGUACUAUUAAACAUACCAUAUGACUACACACAUACCAUUAAACAUAACAAGAUAUACAAUCUAAACAUGCAAUGUAAUCAAAAUAAAUAUAUAAUUACACUUAAAACGACAACGCCUAGCAAUUUUUAACCAAACUCUAGCAUUUUUUAAUUUUCGAAAAUUUUUAAUUUUUUAAUUAAUUAAUUUUUUAAUUUUUUAAUCAUUAAUUUAAUUAUUUUAAAAUUUUUGAAUUUUCGAUUUUUUUAAAGAAUUUCCGAUUUUUUUUUAUUUUUCUUUUUUUAAAAUUAAAAUUUUUUAACAUUUUUUUAUUUUCGAAAUUUUUUUUUUUAAAUAAAUUUUUGGGAUCGAACCGGGUCGGAUCCGGUCUAAUCCGACCCGGUUCAGCCCGGUCAGCAGAGUCGGGUUCGGUUGGAGACCAGACCCGGGUUUGGUACGGCUGGGAGACGAGCUGAUUGGCCCAAUCGAACCUUCAAUUAAAUUCAAAUCAGGCUCAACCUAGUCUAAAUUUUUUUUGUUUUAAAACAAAGCCCACAAACCCUAUGCACUAAAACAGCCCAAAACGAAGCCCAUUCCUCUAUUCCUAUUUUUUAAUCUUUUUGUGCUUUUGUUUUGUUUUCUUUUUCUUUUUCUUUUUACCCCCUUUUCGAUCGUCUUCUUCGGGGCCUCCCCUCCCGCAGCCGCGACACGCCGAAGCUUCUGCAGCUCCUUUACCGGUCCGACGCCGACAACACCACGAGUUCUGACCGCCCUAAGGAAGUCGUCGAACCACUGCCGCUCACCGGUCGUCCCCCUCGACCGGCGCCGGUUACCUAUUCUGGCAACCCCUAAUCUAUUUCUGAUGAAACGAGUCCUCAGUCCAACUACAUGCCAAUAUCUUGCGCAAACCGUCUGAAAACACAACAAAUUAGGGCAAAGCAACAAGGAUUCAGCAAGCAUGGGGGGAAAAUGAAUAGGUCCGGUGUUAAAACGCGAGCUACUCCUCGGUCUUCUUUGAGGAAUUUUGUCGAACACAUGGUUUGCACUACCGAACUUGAAGGAUUUCAGCUCAACCGAACACCAAACACACUUUAGGGGUCUCAAGAUAUAACGUAUAAGGACAGGGGAGCAAAGAGCAAAGGCGACAUGGACCGGAGCUCACGAGAACCGGUCGACUGUGAGCUUCGGCCCACCGUUUUCCAGAAACUAGACCGCGGGGUUCGGGAGACCUACCUCGUCCGGUGAUGGGCUACGGCGGACAACGGUUGGCGAACGAACUUCUGGCGACGACGAGCUGCUCCCUCGAGCUUCCUGCCUCUGAUUCAGCCUCUCUUUCCCUCCGUGUUACUCUCUCGCUCGCUAUCAGCCUUGUGUUUUUUUUUUUGUUCGGAUCCUCUCCUCUGUGUCGAUUCUAUUCUUCGGUUUUUAUGCCCGGCCAGCAAGCGCGCAUGGCUCCUGUAGCUGCCAGCUUGCCGGCUAGACUGCACGCCCGACCCGCGGAUCACGUCGUUCGCCUGUCACCGAUCCUCUACUGCCCCUGUUUUCGCUGCCCUCCUGCUACUUUGUCUUCUGCAAGUCUUCGAGCGAAGACCAGCAGAAGAAAAGAAAAAAGGGAUGGGCCGAUCGAAAGGAGAGAAUGGGCCAGGCCCAACGCGCAGGGGAAGAAAAGAGAGAGAGAGAGAGAGAGGCGGGUUGGGCCAUGGUCGAAUUCGGCCCAACCUGACCAUUUUCGUUUUUUUUUUCAAAUUUUUUUUAACUCUCUUUUUUGAAUAAUAACCCUUUUUGUGACUAAUUCCUAACCUUUAAUACUACUUUAAAUUAAUUAAUUUCAGUAAAAAAUUAGGUCUCAACAAGAUGCAAAUAUAGAACAUAUAAGUGGGUAAAAUUCGUGCCAAAACAACCGACCACGUGAUUCAUGUUACUAGUGAUAAAAACUGACCACAGGUUUCAUGUUCUUGAAAAUUCAAAUGACUAAAGUACUAACAUAAAAUUAAACUUAAGGAGCAAUUACUAGUGAUAAAAAAAAGUUAACAAGAAGAAAACUUCAGGUUAUCAAAGAGCCACCAUGUUCUGUAAUAGCAAAUAUUUCAUAAAUAACUUAUAUAGACAACUGACUACGAGUUUCAUGUCUUUUAUGAGAGCCAUCAUCACCAACCCGACCGAUGAUAUGGAUUUUUAUGGUGAUUCUAUUAAUUAAGUAAUAUAGCCAAUGGAAUAAAAUAUUAAAAUCAUCACAAAAAGUAUUUUUUUUUUGUACCGUCAUUGCAGAUAUUUCUUAAAUAAAUGAGCAAACAACCGCCAUAAUCGUCACCAUAAAUUAUGAUUUUUUCUAUCAUAGCAUCAUCUUAUGAAAUUAAUCCCAUCUUCUUUUGUUCCUUUUUUUGUCUAACAAAAAUAAACUUAUCUCACCAAAUUCACUUCUUUUUGGGAAAAAAAAAGUGUCACUAAUGUAUCUACCAACUCAUUCUUAGAAUUUGUCUCUCAACGUGCUAAUUUAAUCAACUGAUAGUCAAUCGGUCAAAUGAAAGGGGAAGGAGAGAUGAGAGAUCAACAAUCAAAUUCGAUCCUAGAAAAUUGUGGUGUAAUAAGGAAAAGAUUAUUGCUAUAAAACUAGUCUUAAUUUGGGAAGAUCAUUGUUUGGAGGGAAUUAUUGGGCGGAAAAUGGCCAGAUGAUAAUCUAUUUAAUGUUCUCCAUAAGAAGAUCUCUCGCACUAGGGUGGGAGACCCCACAAUGUCAACCUUGUAUUUCCUCUCCGUUGGGAAAAAAAUAAAAGGGAAUUAGAGGACCUCACGAUGGUAAAGAUGGACAUCAUGUCAGACUUUGCAACCUUGACUUCCACCAAAUAAGGCAAGUAUAAUAGCCUCCCAUGUCUGAGGUGAGUGAAGGUAUUUGAAAAUCCCAUUGCUGAGUUGGUUUGCCUUUAGGCAACGGGAAAAUUAUCAAAAUAGUACUAAACCUAUUACAAUUGUGUCAAUUCAGUCAUAAACAAAUUUUUUUUUUACCAAAUGAGUCAUAAACCUUUUACAAUUAUUUUCGAUCAGUCCAUCCGAUCAAAAUUGGCUAGCCGGCGCUGACGUGACAGUUGGCCAACGCUAGUGAUAUUUUUUUUAAUAAUAUUUUUUGGAAAUAUUUUAUUAGUUUUUUUAUUUUUAUUUUUUCCUUUUUUCCCCUUUUUUUUUUCUUCUCCCUCUUCCUCCUUCCUCCUCCUCUGCUCAUCCCUCCUUCUUUCCUUUGGCUCCGGUGACUGGCCAAAUGGGAGGGCUAGCCGUCGCCGAAUUGAGGUGGCCAAGCUAGCUCGCCUCGCCGUCACUGGGCGAGGACAAGCUCGCCUAGCCAUUGGCGGGGCAAGCCCUUGCCAAAUCUGACGAGGGGGGCCUUGCCAUCGCCGGGUCUGGCGAGGCAAGCCCCGCCAGUCAACGAGCUCGCGCCUAGCAAUGGCGAGGCGAAACCCCACCGAAUCUAGCGAGGCGAUCCGAUGGGCUCACCUUGCCUAGUCGGCGAGCUCGCACCCAGUGACGGCGUGGUGAGCCCCCGCCAAAUCCGACGAGGGCUCACCUCGCCCAGCUAAAAGUUCCAAAAUUUACACUUAAGUACUAAAAUCAGAGAAUGAUAGAACACUUAAGUGCCAAUGGUGAAAAAUUCCGGCUAAAUUACUAGCAUGACAUUUUCCCACUACCAUUUUUAUUGAUGUGACAAAUUUUAAAAAAGAAAUUAUCCAUGUGGCAAUUCUUUUUUAAAAAACUAUCAACAUUAAUAAAAAGCCCCUAAAAUUAAUUUUAAUAUAAAUAGUAAUUAAAAAUAAAUUAAAAGCUAGAUUAUUUGUAAAUAAAAAGGAAGGAGAAGGGGGAACAAUAGGUUCAGCGAGGGCCUCGGUCCUUGCCACCGCCGCUCCACCAUCUCCGAAAAGAGCCGGCGAUGGUGGGGCGAGUGUUUGCUAAGGUUGCGGGCCCCUAGGCAGUGGCCAACAACCUUAGUUGACCACCGGCUCAGAUCUAGGGUAAGAGUUGCGGCCCUCCCCCAGAUCCGACGAAAGUUGUCGGUCGACGCUUGCCCCACCGUCGUUGGCCCUUUCUGGCGAUGGUGGGGUGGUGAUGGCGAGGGCCAAGGCCCUCACCGAACUUGCUAUUUCCCCUUCUUCUUUCUUUGUUUUUUUAAUAUUUAUAAUUUAGUUUUCUACUUUAUUUAUAAUUAAUAUUAAAUUAAUAAAUUUAUGGGCAAAAUGACAUUGUUUUGCACUUUCAUUGUUGAGUUGGCUUUCGACGAGCCAUAUAGAUCAUAUAUAUUAUUAAAAAAAAUGUCACGUCGGAUUUUCAGCUACUUUCGCCGAAUUUGGUAUUGAAGUGUCUCAUUUUUUUAAAAAAAUGGCAUUAAAUGUACUUUUUGGAACUUUUAACACUAAAGUAUCUACCUAUGCCAAGUUUUGACACUUUCACUGUCAUUUCUUCCUUAGACUCAUAUUGAUUCGGGGCGGGCCAAGAAAGUUGUCACAUAAUAGCACUUAGAAGUAGUUAUGAGUUCCAACCCGAAUGGUCAAGUCUCCUCAAGGAUAUCCACGGCAAACCAUUCUUCCCUGUUGGGGCAAAUUCCCUAGAGCGAUCCCGAGACGCAAGGCAAAACCAACAUGUGGUGACCGAUCAAGGAAUGGCUCGAUGCGCAGAGGAAAGGUACUGUAGUGUACAUGGCAUUCCGGAGCGCAGCCAAAUCGAGCCAAACCGAACUGACUGAAAUUGCCCUAGAGCUAGAGCUUUCGGGGUUACCAUUUCUCUGGGCACUCAAGACCCGGCUCGGCUCGGCCGACAACAAGUCGGUCGUGUUGCCAAAUGGUUUUGAGGAACGAGUCAAACGGUGAGGCAUGGUUUGCAAGAGCAGCUCAAUAUACUCACGCACGAGUCGAGGGGCGGGUUCUUGACUCAUGCCAGGUGGAGUUCAGGCGUGGAGGCGCAAAGCUUCGAGAGAGCCCUACUACUUUUCACAUUCUUGGCGGAUCAAAGGACUGAGUGCGAGGCUCUUGGAAGUGAGACAGAUUGGGUAUUCGAUACCGAGAAACGAGUCCGAUGGGUUGGUCACAAGGCAAUUAGUGGCCGUGUCGCUGAGGCUGGUGAUGGUGGAAGAGGAGAGUAGGGUUUACCGAGAGAAAAAGAAGGAGACGAGGCCUAUUUUUGGAGACAAGGACAUCCAAAAACGUUAUGUCGACAACCUUCUGAACUAUUUGAAGGAGCACAGGCUUAUGAACCGCCUAAAAUCAUAUGGGAUUUCCCCGUGAGCCAAGAAGCUAUGACGUGGUUUGAGCGUUCUUAGGCGUGCGUAUCUUGUGCUUCUGCUGAGUUAUUCAAUGUUUGGCGAGACAAAGGUGGUUUGCGUCCUAUGUGAAACCGAGUGUGCGCUUUCGUAAGGAAGAAUUUUAAGAAGAAAGUAGUGUGUGCAUACAAGGUAUAAUCAAUCAAUAAUAUAAAUCAUGGGUAUAUACUCCACAUAACUUUAUGUUUAAAAUUUUGAAAACCAUCGCUUUUAAUUGACUUGCUUCUCCAUAAUGCCAUGUGACGUGGCCUCUACAAAAAACACCUUUUAAUUAGGACUUUGAAUAUUCUUUGCCAAAUAGUUUCUUGAGCAGAAGUAUUAUUUUGCAAGAGACGGAGAUUUAUACCGGAGGAGUUGAAGAUUUGAAAGUCAACUCAAAUGCGAUAAUGAAAAUGCUCACCGCCCAUUACAGUCCAUUUCGGAAUAUAACAAAUGUAACUCACGCUGAAAGUAAUUCACUGAAGAGAUAGAGAGGAGAACUUUAAUCAAAGAGUACAAAUCCAAAAUAUCAUUAAAAUACUCGCUCACCCUCAAGAAAACUUUAGAGGAGUUUACACAUACUUUAACUUGGUACAACCUCCAAGCAUAGGCAUAUCUCAAGACUCCUAUAAUACCCAAGACAAAAUCAACAAUCCUUAGAAGAUAUAUAUAUAAAUUGACUGUUGACACUACUCCAGGAAUAAAAACAUUAGACUGGAACCGGCGUUUUCAACCAUAUAUUAUUUGACCAUAUUGAAGCACAGAAACCCUUCAAAAUAUCUAAACAAAGUGAUCCUUAAUAGAUGGACUUAACCUUUAUGUUUGCAUUGAGUGUUGACGAGGCUCUUGCUCCUCACUGACAUUUUGUUGGGUAUGGUAAUACCAGUCCAAUACCCUGAGUCCAUGUACUGUCCCCAUUCAAGGUCCUACCUGAUUUGGGUCACAUGUCCAUAAAAAAUCCAAUUCCAAAAUUCUCCCCCUGCCCCUCUCCUCUCCUUUCUCAAGCUUCUGCACACAGACCACCCACCCUUGCCACCACGUGCCCACCGCCUCGCGACGGCCAUCUUUAGCGGAUUGUCAUUGGCCUUCGUCAGCGGAUGCCGUCGCUUGGAUUGGCACGCUGCUUGUCUGACCAGCGGCUACCCCAUCACUUUUCUGUGGCUAAACUGAACCUUCAAUCAACCAAGGAUAGAUCGCAUAACAGCAAAGCUGUUCAAGAAAUGAUCGAUCAGAGAAAGAGUGAAGGAGGUGCUAGUAGUGUUGAAAUCUGAGAUUCAGAAAGCUGGUUCGCAACAAUGCAUGGAUGUGUUUGGCGGGUCAACCAUGGUUGCACCUUCAUUAAGUUUAAAAGAAGUGCUUCAUCUUUGUCAAAAUUAUUUUACUCGGUUUGAAGAUGAAGAGGUGGAUAAGUUAAUGUUAGAAAUCCUCAAUUCUAGACCAGGCAGUGAGCUAGCAGUGGAAAGAGUGGUCACAAAGAGGUCAGAUAAACGAGGUUAACCAAUUAUACAAAUAGUGAUCAAGUUUCUCGACCGAAAUCAUCAAACGUUCAAACUGCUUGUGACUCGAAGUGGGGAGUGGCAUAGGCCCAAAGUACAGAAGUAAAGGGUGCCCGUAUCAAAGAGGCUUAGUAGGGUGCACCGACCAGCCAAAGGCCAUCAGGGCAUAACAAAGACUCAGUAAAGGAGAUGGCAAAGAAUACAACAGGCCGAAAGAACGAAGAAUGUGGUAGUGAAAGGAUGGGUAGAAAAAGGCUAGCAGGAUGCUGAGGGUUUGGGCCAAUCCAAGCGGGGAGAGGUCAUAAGGAGCUACAGUUUGGCACCCUGCCAGCAUUAGCGAAGAAAAAAGAGUGAUUUGGUUACUCUUUCCCCUUCUGCCAAGAAGACUGGCUCUCAGUCUUUAUCCCCCCCCCCCCCCCCCCCCCCCCCCCCCCCCACUCUCUCCCCCACUCUACACCGUGAUCCUCCCCCUCCCUUCCUCCCCUGCUGUCACACCGUCGACGCGCUGAGAACCGAGGGCGAGGCGCCGACAAGCCGAUAUCCAAGCUCAAAUCGUGCCAAGUGUUGAAUAUCUGCUCAAGCGAAGCUCAUCCAGUUCUUUGCUUGAAUUCGUUCGGAGACGACAACCCGCGCUCCAUCAACCCAUCUUUUUGUUAUUGACUCGUCAGCANNNNNNNNNNNNNNNNNNNNNNNNNNNNNNNNNNNNNNNNNNNNNNNNNNNNNNNNNNNNNNNNNNNNNNNNNNNNNNNNNNNNNNNNNNNNNNNNNNNNUUUUCGAUGCGGUUAUAGGCAAUGCGUCGGGCGUCACAGAUUUAUAUCGCUUUGGGGCAGGCCAAGAAAGUUGUGACAUAAUAGCACUUAGAAGCAGCUAUGAGGUCGAACCCGAAUGGUUGAGCCUCCUCAGGGAUAUCCACACCAAGCCAAUCUUCCCCGUUGGGCUACUACCCCCACGCGAUCCCGAGACGCGAGGCGAAAUGGACUCGUGGCGGUCAAUCAAGGAAUGGCUAGAUUCGCAGAAGAAAGGUACCGUGGUAUAUGUGGCAUUUGGGAGCGAGGCCAAACCAAGCCAAAUCGAAUUGACUGAGAUCGCCCUAGGGCUAGAGCUUUCGGGGUUACCGUUUUUCUGGGUACUCAAGACUCGGCUCGGCUCAUCCGACACCGAGUCGGUCGUGUUGCCGAACGGUUUUGAGGAGCGAGUCAAAGGGCAUGGUGUGGUUUGGGAUAGCUGGGUGCCUCAGCUCAAGAUACUCGCGCACGACUCGGUGGGCGGGUUCUUGACUCAUGCCGGGUGGAGUUCGGUGGUGGAGGCGCUAAGCUUCGAGAGAGCCCUUAUACUUUUCACAUUCUUGGCAGAUCAAGGACUAAAUGCGAGGUUCUUGGAGGAGAGACAGAUUGGGUAUCCGAUACCAAGGAAUGAGUCCGAUGGGUCUGUCACAAGGCAGUCCGUGGCCGAGUCGCUAAGGCUGGUGAUGGUGGAAGAGAAGGGUAGGGUUUACCGAGAGAAAGCAAAGGAGAUGAGGCCUAUAUUUGGGGACAAGGAGAUCCAAGAACGUUAUGUCAACAACCUUCUCAACUAUCUGAAGGAACACAGGCCUGUGAAACACCUGAAAUCAAAGGGGAUCACAAUAUGAGGCAAGAAGUUAUGACGUGGUUCAAGUGUCCUCAGGAAUGUCUGGUGCUUCUGCUGAGUUAUUCAAUGUUUUACAACAAAGGUGGUUUGCUUUGUACGUAAAACUAGAUGUGUUCUUUUGUUACGUCAAGGAGAAAGUGGUUUAUGUAUCAAUCGCUCAAUGGACAAAGCAUAAUUGAUCAAUAAUCAUAUUGUUUGCAAUCCAAAAAACUAUUGAGUUUGAAUUUUGAAUUCUCUUACUUUUGAUUGACUUACUUCUCAAUAUAUCAAUGCCAUGCAGCUACAAAAAGUACCUUCUUCGAAUUGGGACUUUGGAUAUUCUUUGCCAAAUAGUUUCCAUGAGCAGCACAAUUAUUUUUCUAAUGACAUAGAUUGAUACUGGAGGAGUAAGAGAUUUUAAAGUCAACACAAAUGUGACAACUAAAAUGCCCACCACCUAUUGAAUCCACCUCAGGAUAUGGAAAACGUUAGUCAACGCUUAGAGGAAUCCGCCAAAGAGGUCAAGAGUUAAGUUAAAACGGUAAUCAAACAGUUCAAUUCCAAAGUACCGUUAAAAACCUUCAGUGAACCUUACAGGAUUUUAUAUAGACUUAACUUGAAACAACACUCGUAGGCAUGUCUCAAUACUCUUAUAAUAUUAGUUUCCCAAACAAGAACAAUCCUUAUACAAUAUAUAAUAGAAAAUUGACUCUUGAUUGGACUAGACAUUCGUUAGAUUGGACUCAAUAAAAAAUUCAUUAGUGAUGCUUCCAUCGCUGGCCUUUGUCCACAUGAUCCCAGCCAAGUGGAUCACCAAAAAGCGUUACCAGAUACCAUUCCUAUCAAAGCCCAGGAACAUAAAUUCGUUACAAACGAGACUUUGACAAAGGAUAAGACACUAAAAAUUUUAAAAUCACAAAACUACAAUUUGUCUUAAAACUUGUGAAAAGUGUAAUGAAAUCUUGAAACUUUUCAAAUUAGUAUGAUUGAGUCCUUCCAUUAACUCCGUCAAACUUGCCUAACAAAAAAUGUUGAAGUGGCUUAUUUUAAUCAUUUCUCUCUCUUACACAACAAUUAGUCUAAUUAAAAAUAUCCACAUAUGCAAAACCAUGACGCUUUGUAUAAUUCACUUAUCCAAAACGAUGUCUCUCCCUCUUCAUAGUCGAACUUCGUCCCCUUCCUUCCCCAAUUGAGGACACGGUUCGAACGUGAAGCCCCAAACUCAACAUCGUCUCUGGAACAUCUCUUCUUCUUCCCAAAUUGAAGUCUUCUGACCUAACCUCCAAGCUCAACGUUGUCUCCCUCUCUGAACGAAAUUAACACUCGUCUCCUUUUGAACCCUAAGCCCCAAAUCAAGUUGAUGAUUUGGAGUUCUCUUGUGAUUUAGGUCCCCUCGAGAGUUGGAAUUCGACACCCAUUGUAAUCUGAAGUUCAUAGAGUUCGAGUUUAAUGCCCAUCGCAAGUUCGCAUUCUCUUCUUCGUUGACCGUGAGUUUAUGCAAAGACCCAUCGCGCGGUAGUCUCAGCGGCAGAUCACAUGGCAUUGACGACGAAGAUGGCGAUGGUGACUAUCUCUACUCCUCACGCAGGUAACGCAUUGUUAUCUCAAUUUGAGCUUGAUUGGAGUUUAUAAUUGUCAUCAUCUUACUGUAGUUGAGAAACCACAAACUAAUGGUGGAACCAAAACCACACUACCCGCAAACCAAUAUUGGUGUCUGAGCCAGGUAUGGUAAGGUUUGUAUAAAGAGCCAAGCAAGUUUGGUUGGUUUUGGAUAUUUUUCCAAACCAUACCUUUUAAUAAAAUGAAAGCCAAAGUCAAAGUUAGAGCUAGAGUCUUGUUCGGUUGGCUUUGCGCAUUUGUCCUAACCGACUUCUACUAAAGUCAUGCAAGUACAAUUUCUAAUACUAAAAUUAUGGCCAACGUUGCCUCACAAAAACUAUCCAUCUCUACUUUUGAUGGGAACAGCUAUUGACUAUUGGACCAUUUUGUUGGUGUUAGGGAAAUCCCUUAUGAUGUUUUGAAGAUGACAAAAUAAAUCAAAAGCUACUAACAUGUUUAAUGGUUAAGUAAUAGACCAUGCAGAUGAUAAAACAUGUAAAGGAUAUUGUCAAAGUGUGAAGACGAUCAGAAGACUGAACGGAACAUAUGCCCAAAGUAUAUUCUGAAGAUUUCCAGACUUCUAUGUCAAAGUCUUAAAACUGCCAGACUUUAGUGUCAAAGUCUGUUCUACAUCAGAAGUCUGCUUAUUCUGACAAAUUCCAGACAGAACGUGAAUAAUGAACCAGAAGACAGACUCUAUGCUGAAGCUGAACCAGAAGACAGACUCUAUGUUGGAGCUGAACUUAUUCAGACGGUGUUCAGACCUUAAAGCUAAAUCUGUUCAGAAGCAGAAUAUGUUCAGACUCGGAUUGCAAAGUCUAUCGCACUCAGACUCAGAUUGUAAAGUCUAUUGUUCUCAGACUUUACAUCCAGAACUCGACACAACGUAACUCAAGCCCAAUCAUAUAACGGCUAGUGAUCUGGUUUUGAUUCCACAUCAAGAUUGAUUUGAUUGACUCAAUCUAUUUGAUUGACAAUUGGAUCUUGAAGACAAGAUCUUUCUAUUCAAAGAAGCUUUACUUAUGAAAACCAAGAUUCCGUUUGUAUGGGCGAUCGGAAUCAAUUUGGGAUUCUACCUUUGUCACUCAACGGCUACCAAAUCUUCUAGAUACAGAGCUGUCCAAUGGGUAUAUUGGAAGACGAUUCUCCGGGAUACUGUCCAACAGGUAGUUUGGAAGUGGAGGAGUAUUUAAGGAGAUCAUGGACCGAUGAGCAAGUAAGAGACAGAGCGUAGAAUUUAUAAUUCCAAAGUCUGAGCGACCUUCGAUCAUACACUUGUCGUUGGAGAGCUUAAACGUUUGUGAUCGUGAGAGAAAUACCAAAAAGAGUGACUUAGUGAGAUAGUGUGAUCUACUAAGUGUUUGCACUCGAAGUUGUAAUCUCUUGUUGAUUGCAUAGUGGAAUCCAGCCAAGAAGGCCGUUAGCAUGGGAGAGUGGACGUAGGCUUAGAUUAAGCCGAACCACUAUAAUUUAUGUGUUCUUAUUCUCUUCCCUAACUCCUUUGUUUGAAGUUUAUUUUAUUCCGCAUAUAUUUGCCAAGGUUUAGUUUAAACACCUAUUCACCCCCUCUAGGUGUUAAUACUAGCACUCUCAGAUGGUUCAAGAUAUAUGGGCCAUUGUUAAAGAAAUAUAUAAAAGACUUGAAAGAAGAUGCAAGUGUUUCAAGAUAUAUGGGCCAUUGUUAAAGAAAUAUAUAAAAGACUUGAAAGAAGAUGCAAGUGUUUCAGUAUUGUAACUACAAAAGGAUGCAAUGGCUCUUGGAGCAAACAUCGCAACCAAAAAAGGAAAGUUUGGGACACAUUAUAAGUUAAAUUUCAAGGAAAGUUUUGGACAUUAUGAAACAUGCUUGGAGUAUGACGAAAAAUAGGGAAGUGUUAUAAUUUUUGUACAGUGCUAACUUUGGUGUUGAAACUNNNNNNNNNNNNNNNNNNNNNNNNNNNNNNNNNNNNNNNNNNNNNNNNNNNNNNNNNNNNNNNNNNNNNNNNNNNNNNNNNNNNNNNNNNNNNNNNNNNNAUGCUUACAGAGAUGAAUGUAUUAUCACAUACACUCUUUGAUUUUUAGUAAUUGAUAAGCUUUGAUUCUCUGAUAGUGAUGCUUCUCCUCCUUAUUAGUCAUAGUUGUAAGUAGGAUAAUCUCCAGAUAGUUAGUUAUUCGGAUGCAAAUGUGUAAAGGAUCAACUCAAGAUGAUAUGAUAGGUUCCUUAUCAACGAAAAUGAAACUUAAGGAGCAAUUACAAGCGAUUAAAGUAGAAAGUGAACAAGAAGCAAAAUUUCAGUUAUCAAAGAGCCACCAUAUUCGGUGAUAGCAAAUAUUUCAUAAAUAACUAAUAUAGACAACUGAGUACGAGUUUCAUGUUUUUUAUGAGAGCCAUCAUCACCAACCUGACCGAUGAUGUGGAUUUUAUGGUGAUUAUAUGAACUAAGUAAUAUAGCCAAUGGAAUAAAACAUUAAAAAUCAUCACAAAAAGUAUAUUUUUUGUGUUCCGUGAUUGCAGAUAUUUCUUAAAUAAAUGAGCAAACAAUCACCAAAGUUUUAUAGAUAUAUAAUCGUCACCAUAAAUUUUAUGACUUUUUCUAUCAUAGCAUCAUCUUCAGAAAUUAAUCCCAUCUUCUUUUAUUCCUUUUUUUGUCUAACAAAAAUAAACUUAUCUCACCAAGUUCACUUCUGUUUGGGAGAAAAAAAAAGUGUCACAAAUGUAUCUACCAACUUAUUCUUGAAAUUUGUCUCUCGAUGUGACAACUUAAUGAACCGAUAGUCAGUCAAUCAAAUGAAAGGGGAAGGAGAGAUAAGAGAUCAACAAUCGAAUUCAAUCCCAAAAAAUUGUGGUGUAAUAAAAAAAAUAUGCUAUAAGACAAUUGUGCGGAGGGAAUUAUUGAGCGGAAAAUGGCUAGAUGAUAAUCUAUUUAAUGUUCUCCAUGAGAAGAUCUCUCGCCCUAGGAUAGGAGACCCCGCCAUGUCACCCCUAUAUUCCUUCUCUAUUGGGAAAAAAAAUAAACAGAAAAUUAGGGGGUCUCACAAUGAUGAAGGUAGAUAUCACAUCAAGAUUUUUAACCUUAGCUACCAUCAGAUAAGAUAAAUAUAGUGACUUCCCACGUUUGAGGUAAAUGAGGAUAGUUGAAAAUCCCAUUGCUAAGUUGGCUUGCCUUUAAGCAAUUGUAGACAACCCCAAGCCAACUCAAUAUCUCUGGUAUUAGGCGGAAAUGGCAGAUGAUAAUCUAUUUAAUGUUCUUUAUAAAAAAAAAAUGUUAAAUUAUGUCUCAAGUUUGAGCUCAUUAGACAAAUAUGCAUAAGUAUGGCCAAAUAAACAAAGUUCAUGGGAGAUUUGUGAUGUCUUCGAAUUUUGAUCAGCCAUUAGUCCUAGCUCCAUGCGUAGAAGGAAGAAGCUAAAGAAAGGCGCAUGAGUGGUUUAAGUUCUUUGACUUUCAGGUGGGCAAGCGAAGUCAAAGAAGAGUGAUUUGCCUCAGCCGAAAGGGUAGGCAUCCACAAUCUUCUGCAUUAAAUAAAGAGACCCACAGCCUGCAGCACAUGCCUGCAGCACAUGCAUGAAGAAGAACCCUAUAGCGUUGUCUUCUCUCCAGCAACAAGAGUUUUGAAGACGGCGGCCCACCUCAUAGGCACGCGUUAUUAUCACUCAUCUAUUCUGCCUCACUGAAUGCGUGCCCAUGCACAUGCACGAUCUGCAUGCAUGCCUACAAAUAUGGUGGGCGUGGGUGAGGAUUGUGGGCUUGUCUAGUGGGUGCCUGUGCUGCAUUUAAUGAGACCAAUUACUUUCAUUUUUGUCCUGUUUUUCUGCUCUCCUUGCUAAAAGGAGAAGACGUCUGAAGAUGCAGAGAGAGCAAAAAGGAAAGAGCUCGAGAGAGAGUGAGAGGCGUGAGCUUAGAGAGGUUUGCGCAAAGUCAAGUCUAUUGAGUUGAGUUGUUAAACACUGUGAGUAUUGGGUAAAAAGUAGGCUGAGAAACACUUUAGUGUAUAAGUGAUUGUAAUUCUAUAAUUCUCCGAUAUAUAGUGAAUUAUUUUACUGGCUCUCUUUGUGGACGUAAGUUCUUAUAUUCGAACUGAAUCAUGUAAAUUUCUGAUGUCCUUUUAUUGUUCCUCAUUUUAUUUUUGUCGAUUUCUAUAGCUUCCGAUAUAAUUGCAAAAUUACAAUAUGCUUCUGAUGCGCCACCUAUUCUAACAAGAAGAUCUCUAGCAAACACGACUUCCAAUGCCUGCAACAUAAUUAAUUAAAGAGUCCGAAAAAAGAUAACGUAAGAUAAUGCAUUGCCACAAACGUCAUGGAUGACAAAAGUUUCUUGAAUGAUGCUCUAUUUAUAGAACUUCAUGGUCUUAUAAGCUCACAAACUUGUCAAUACCCAGUACAGCGUUGUAGCUUCUGCUGAGCUCUCCAUAUUUUCGUCUAUUGCGAAAUGGCCGAAACACGUGACAGUCUCCACAUAGUGAUGCUUCCAUGGUUAGCCUUUGGCCACAUGAUGCCAUACUUGAAGCUAGCCAAGUUGAUGGCCGGAAAGGGUCACCGGAUAUCGUUCCUAUCAGCCCCGAGAAACAUAGAUCGCAUCCCUAAACCCCCUUCAGACCUCGCCUCUCUCAUCAGCUUCGUGAAGCUCCCCUUACCAGCCGUCGAACACUUGCCAGAAGGCGCCGAAGCCACCAGCGACUUGCCCUACAACAAGAUCCAAUACCUCAAGAAGUCUUACGACAUGCUCCAAGAACCCGUGGCCCAGUUCCUCGAAUCUUCGGAUCCCGAUUGGAUCAUGUACGAUUUCGCCCCGUAUUGGGCCGGCUCGAUCGCUUCUAGGCUCGGUAUAAGGAGUGUUUUCUUCAGUAUUAUGACUGGUGCCUGCUUGGGCUUCCUUGGGCCAGUAUGGGCUUUAAAGGGGGGAGACUACAGAAAAACUCCGGAGGAUUUCACGAAGCGCCCGAACUGGGUUCCGUUCCCGACAAGGGUCGCAUUCCGCCACUUCGAGAUCAAGAAGAUUUUCGAUGCGGUUAUAGGCAAUGCGUCGGGCGUCACAGAUUUAUAUCGCUUUGGGGCAGGCCAAGAAAGUUGUGACAUAAUAGCACUUAGAAGCAGCUAUGAGGUCGAACCCGAAUGGUUGAGCCUCCUCAGGGAUAUCCACACCAAGCCAAUCUUCCCCGUUGGGCUACUACCCCCACGCGAUCCCGAGACGCGAGGCGAAAUGGACUCGUGGCGGUCAAUCAAGGAAUGGCUAGAUUCGCAGAAGAAAGGUACCGUGGUAUAUGUGGCAUUUGGGAGCGAGGCCAAACCAAGCCAAAUCGAAUUGACUGAGAUCGCCCUAGGGCUAGAGCUUUCGGGGUUACCGUUUUUCUGGGUACUCAAGACUCGGCUCGGCUCAUCCGACACCGAGUCGGUCGUGUUGCCGAACGGUUUUGAGGAGCGAGUCAAAGGGCAUGGUGUGGUUUGGGAUAGCUGGGUGCCUCAGCUCAAGAUACUCGCGCACGACUCGGUGGGCGGGUUCUUGACUCAUGCCGGGUGGAGUUCGGUGGUGGAGGCGCUAAGCUUCGAGAGAGCCCUUAUACUUUUCACAUUCUUGGCAGAUCAAGGACUAAAUGCGAGGUUCUUGGAGGAGAGACAGAUUGGGUAUCCGAUACCAAGGAAUGAGUCCGAUGGGUCUGUCACAAGGCAGUCCGUGGCCGAGUCGCUAAGGCUGGUGAUGGUGGAAGAGAAGGGUAGGGUUUACCGAGAGAAAGCAAAGGAGAUGAGGCCUAUAUUUGGGGACAAGGAGAUCCAAGAACGUUAUGUCAACAACCUUCUCAACUAUCUGAAGGAACACAGGCCUGUGAAACACCUGAAAUCAAAGGGGAUCACAAUAUGAGGCAAGAAGUUAUGACGUGGUUCAAGUGUCCUCAGGAAUGUCUGGUGCUUCUGCUGAGUUAUUCAAUGUUUUACAACAAAGGUGGUUUGCUUUGUACGUAAAACUAGAUGUGUUCUUUUGUUACGUCAAGGAGAAAGUGGUUUAUGUAUCAAUCGCUCAAUGGACAAAGCAUAAUUGAUCAAUAAUCAUAUUGUUUGCAAUCCAAAAAACUAUUGAGUUUGAAUUUUGAAUUCUCUUACUUUUGAUUGACUUACUUCUCAAUAUAUCAAUGCCAUGCAGCUACAAAAAGUACCUUCUUCGAAUUGGGACUUUGGAUAUUCUUUGCCAAAUAGUUUCCAUGAGCAGCACAAUUAUUUUUCUAAUGACAUAGAUUGAUACUGGAGGAGUAAGAGAUUUUAAAGUCAACACAAAUGUGACAACUAAAAUGCCCACCACCUAUUGAAUCCACCUCAGGAUAUGGAAAACGUUAGUCAACGCUUAGAGGAAUCCGCCAAAGAGGUCAAGAGUUAAGUUAAAACGGUAAUCAAACAGUUCAAUUCCAAAGUACCGUUAAAAACCUUCAGUGAACCUUACAGGAUUUUAUAUAGACUUAACUUGAAACAACACUCGUAGGCAUGUCUCAAUACUCUUAUAAUAUUAGUUUCCCAAACAAGAACAAUCCUUAUACAAUAUAUAAUAGAAAAUUGACUCUUGAUUGGACUAGACAUUCGUUAGAUUGGACUCAAUAAAAAAUUCAUUAGUGAUGCUUCCAUCGCUGGCCUUUGUCCACAUGAUCCCAGCCAAGUGGAUCACCAAAAAGCGUUACCAGAUACCAUUCCUAUCAAAGCCCAGGAACAUAAAUUCGUUACAAACGAGACUUUGACAAAGGAUAAGACACUAAAAAUUUUAAAAUCACAAAACUACAAUUUGUCUUAAAACUUGUGAAAAGUGUAAUGAAAUCUUGAAACUUUUCAAAUUAGUAUGAUUGAGUCCUUCCAUUAACUCCGUCAAACUUGCCUAACAAAAAAUGUUGAAGUGGCUUAUUUUAAUCAUUUCUCUCUCUUACACAACAAUUAGUCUAAUUAAAAAUAUCCACAUAUGCAAAACCAUGACGCUUUGUAUAAUUCACUUAUCCAAAACGAUGUCUCUCCCUCUUCAUAGUCGAACUUCGUCCCCUUCCUUCCCCAAUUGAGGACACGGUUCGAACGUGAAGCCCCAAACUCAACAUCGUCUCUGGAACAUCUCUUCUUCUUCCCAAAUUGAAGUCUUCUGACCUAACCUCCAAGCUCAACGUUGUCUCCCUCUCUGAACGAAAUUAACACUCGUCUCCUUUUGAACCCUAAGCCCAAAUCAAGUUGAUGAUUUGGAGUUCUCUUGUGAUUUAGGUCCCCUCGAGAGUUGGAAUUCGACACCCAUUGUAAUCUGAAGAUCAUAGAGUUCGAGUUUAUGGCCAACGUUGCCUCACAAAAACUAUCCAUCUCUACUUUUGAUGGGAACAGCUAUGACUAUUGGACCAUUUUGAUGGAUCAAGACAUAUGGGCCAUUGUUAAAGAAAUAUAUAAAAGACUUGAAAGAAGAUGCAAGUGUUUCAGUAUUGUAACUACAAAAGGAUGCAAUGGCUCUUGGAGCAAACAUCGCAACCAAAAAAGGAAAGUUUGGGACACAUUAUAAGUUAAAUUUCAAGGAAAGUUUUGGACAUUAUGAAACAUGCUUGGAGUAUGACGAAAAAUAGGGAAGUGUUAUAAUUUUUGUACAGUGCUAACUUUGGUGUUGAAACUUUUUGUCAAAUCAUUUAAAUAUUAUUUAAUAAAAGUCACUUAAAUGCCAACUUCAAUUCAGGAUGCCGGAAAUCUGAAUGUUUUAUCAAUUUCCUUGAUCAACGUGCCUAGUUAGCAUUAGCCCUAAACAAUGUUGUCUAAAUAUUUUGCUCAAAUAGAAACCUAAUUUAAACAAAUCAAGCUAGUUCCCUAAAAAUCUUCAAACCCUAAUCAGAAACCCCGAAAUUAAGAGCUAUAUUUUGCAAUGGAGAGCGGAAGCCGCACAAGUGGCUCAAAUUCAUUUCAGCAAGCAAUAGGUUUGUUUCAAUGUGGACAAAACACUCACCUUUUCCCUUAUGCAAGAUUCCUCCCUCGGGCACGAAGCCCCAAUUUCUUUCCUUUAAGCACCAAGCCCUAAUUCUUCCCUUCGACCACAUGCCCUAAUUAUUUCUAUCGCCGGUCGAGCGAGUGAAAGAAGAUGACGAUGGUCGAGUAACCAAGUGAGACAGAGACGACAUGCAAGCAAGCGAGGGUGACCAGCGACUUCGAAGAGUGAGCGUGAAGUCAAGGAAAAGACAACGGUCAGGGAUAGAAGUUUAAAUUGUCACUGUUUUUAAAGCAAAAACAAAAUUAUGGUCGUAUUCUUUAUGUCCUAUUAGGGUGAAUGUGGAAUCGAUCUUUCUGCAAAUGACUAUAACGCUGAGUCGUGUUGGUGAAGUUAAGAAUAACCAAGAGUACGAGAAUACAAAAAGUAUUGCUUUCUUUUGUUUUUUAACCUUUCUUGAGCUUGAACUUUUUCCAACUUCAGUUCUAGGUUUAUAUAUUUCUGGGGUAGUAAGAUGUACCGCUUUCACAUUUUUUUUUUAAUUAAUUUGCAAUUUUCUAAUAACUUGUUAGUCGCAAGAUUAUAUACUUGACUCUUGGACCAUGUCGUCACUUCCUGUCUGUGACAUAACUGCACAUUGUCCUUCAUGUGUUUAUGCAUUAGAUUUGCUGACAAUAAUGAUGAAGCUAAAUUUUCAUAGAGAAAUAGAUACAUUACUCGAACUAGUGAGUACCACACCUCAUUAUUAUUGAAAGGGACACAACGUAUAGACCUGAAUUUCCGACUUGAGAUUAAGCGAAAAGUACUUUUCUUAAACUAGAACGAAAAUACCUUCGUUGAUAUAUUAAAAUUAAGCUCCUAGGUUCCUCGAGAUUUAUUGAUAAGAGGAUGUGCGAUGACUAGCUGUUUCAUCAUGAAUGAUUGUUGAAUUAGCUAUAUCCCAUCGUAGUUUGAUUAAGCGUUAGACUACGGUGCACUUUGACUUUGUUGAAGUUUUGAACGAUUUUUCUAGAAAAGCCUAGUAGACUCUACAAGCUUCUAGACUAAUGCGUGGUGGUUGAAGAUUGUGGCCAAGGAUAAAAACAAGAAGAAAAUCUAACCGGAGCCUAUAAGUAGGCUUGGAUGCUCGUUCAUGUGUUCACAAGAAAUCAACCAGAAAAAGCUACAAACACACGUGCGCACACUUUAAUAUCAACGUUUAUUCCAUAUACUAACACCAGAAACUAAGGGCGUGCAUGUUUAUGUUCUUUUUUUCUUGUUUAUGAAUAAAAAUUUUAUUUUUUUGUUCCCGGGAACAAAAAAAGAACAGAAACGCGUUUAUUUACGUUUUUGUUCAAAAUCUGUUUUUUUGUUCCCGGAACAAAAUUGGAAUGGAAAUAAGGAACAAAAAAAAAGUUGUUUUUUUUGUUUUAGAAACACUUUGAAGAAUAAUUUUCUCUCUCAUUUCUUUUCUUCUCUUUCUUUUCUUCUUCUUUUUUCUUUGGCCGAGGCCGGCGACCUCGCCGGAGCGUCGCCGGCCCCUAGCGAGGCUCGGCCUCGCCGCGCCAGGGGAGGCUCGGCCUCGCCGGGGGCCGGUGAGCCUCGCCGUGGCUGGGCGAGGCUGCCGGCCCCUGUCGGCCGGUUGCCAGCCUCAGCAUGGCCGUCGGCCGAUCGCCGGCCUCGGCAUGGCCGGCGACCGGUCAAAAGAAGAAAAAAAAAAAGGAAGGAAAAAAAGGAAAAAUAUUUAAAAAUAUUUAAAAAUAUUAAAACAUUAAAAGAAAAAAAAGAAUAUAAAUAUAUCAAACGUGUUUCUAUUCAUUUUUUAUUCCCAGAAUAAGUUUACCAAACGCGUCUUUCUGAUAAAAAAUUGUUCCCUGCAACAGAAAUAGUUUUUUCUAUUUUUGUUCACCGGAAUAAUUUUUGAACAGAAACACAAACAAACGCACCUUAACAGACUUGCAAUGAAUGAAUGCGACUUUACUAUCUUAAGCUCUAAUUGAUUUGUAUUUACACCUGAUUGAAUCUCUGUGACAGUCUCUCAUGACACUAAGUUGGCUGUUGAACUGAUCUCUCGAUAUACAUGAGUUGUUCGAAGACUAUUAAGAGAGUGACAUCGGAUGUUUUGAUCUAUGCUGAGUCGUUCCAAGUUGGCCUUGGACACAUGCAUAGGCUCGGAUUGGAGUGGAAAAUAGGCCUAAUUCAUACUUGUAUAAGAUUAUAUAAUUCUGAGUCUUUUACCGUUUUUUUAUCCGAGUGGGUGAUUUGGGUAUAUGAUGUCCGGAUUGGAUUCGAUCUAUCGUGUAUGGACGAUUUAUUUUCUAGUGGUGACAAAACCUAUCUUUAGAAAUCUGAGAGUUUCUUGGAAAUUUACAGUUUACUAUUAAGUGACUCAUCAACACCGGCCUUUGCGGGAAAUUUAAACCGUAGCAAAUGCCAUUAGGACUGGCUACAGAGGCAUAUUAAUGACCAGUUCUCAAUUUAACUAGCUUACCUAGUCUAUUUAAUCUGAUCAUAAUGGUGUGAUGUGAAGUCAGUAUCAUCUUCCUAUUGCUUUAGAGCAAUUAGAAACUCCGAAAAAUUAAAAAGUGUCGAAAGAAUUCAAAAAAAAAGAAGAAGAAGAAGUUAAGAAGAAGAUGAAAGUCUGUGCAUAUGCAAUUUGUAAAAGUGACGUAACGUUAGAGUUAAUUGAUCAUGUCGUGUUACUUCAUUCGUUUGUCAAACCGUUCUCUUCUCAUCACGACAGCCUAGUUGUGGUAUGCGAUUAGGUUGUAGUUGUCGAGGUGAGUACGCUAAAUUCAUUUAAUACAUCGAGAAUAGUGGAAGAAAAGGGAACAUGGACAUUGAGUCCGAGCAAGAAAGUUUUGCAUAGACUUAGUCCCCAUGUUAUAUGAUAAACAUAAGCAUUCACGAUAUUGAAAUUGCAAGAGAAAUUGUAUUUUCAAUGGAACCAAGUGUAGGUCACAUAAAUUUUUAUGACGUGAUUGAUUUGAUUUGGUGGACUCAUCAAUAAAUAAAUUUGCUCGAUCAAAAUUGGAUCGAUUAUGGAAAAUUGCUAGGGCACAUAUUUUCUAGCAAAUCCAGCUGGAUUGAUGGCUUGACUGACAACUGAUUGUUCAAAAACUGGUAAUAGAUAUUUUGUUUUCGCGUCAAAGACUAAUAAUAGAUUUGAUCCACUCCAUUGUUUUACACUUCAAUUUCCAUUCAAAUAAAAAAUUUAUGUAUUAGCAAGAGUGCCCGAUCCUUCCGGUACUUCCUGACCUUUUUAAUACGCACUUGCUAGUGAUAUAAGUACUGGAAAAAAAAAAAAAAAAACUCCUCAAUAUGGCAUUAUGUUAACGGACAAAUCAAACACUAAUUGCAUUUAAAAUAUUUUCAUAAUAUCUAAGCAUGACAUGCAAAUUAAGGUAUUCCAAUGCUUAUAUGAUAUUUAAUAGGACAAAAUUCAGGCGAGAAUGAGUCACGUAGCAUGCUCUUGCUCUAAAAAAAUAGCCUGUUUAAAAAAAAAGGAAAUCGCCUGUUAAAAAAAAUCGUCUAAAAAAUUAUAUUUAUUGUCCUAUGAUAGCACAUAUUUCAUCAAAUGAGUAAAUCGAAAAGGGAAAAAUUAUCCACUCGCCAGAAGUUUAUAGAAACAUAAUCAUUCCCCAUGAAAUACGAUUUCUUCGUUGGAGCAUCGUCCACUGAAAUUAAUUUCAUCUUUUUUUGAAAAAUAAAAAGACAAAUGUGUCGUGAAUCUAUCUUCCAAACUUGUUCUUGUGCUCCAUCCCUCGACGUACCUCACGCGAACGACCCAGGUCGGGUCACAGUCAAUCGUCUGAUGGUCGAUGGAUAAGACGAAACGGGGAGGAGGGACGAGAGAUGGACAAUCGGUCAGAUCCCGGAAUUUCAUGGUGGAAUGAGGACGAGAUGACUAAGAAAUACUCCUGAAGAUGUGGUUGAGGGAGGAACUACGUGGCGAACACUGGCCCAAUGAGAUUUCCAUAUAAUGUUGUCGGUAAGAACGAUCUAGCAACCGGACCCACAGACGUCAUGGCUGAGGAAAGUUUCACUACUCAUGCUCUAUUUGCAUGACGUCACGGUCUUGUACGCUCGCCCACUUAUAAAUGCCCCGCUACAGCGAUUUAAGCUUUGGCGGAGCUCUCCACGCAUUUUGUUCUAUAGUGCGAUGGCCGAUCCACAUGAGAAUCUCCACAUGGCGAUGCUUCCGUGGUUGGCCUUUGGCCACAUGAUGCCAUACUUGGAGCUAGCCAAGUUGAUGGCCGGAAAGGGUCACCGGAUAUCAUUCCUAUCGGUCCCGGGAAACAUAGAUCGCCUCCCAAAACCCCCUCCAGACCUCGCUCCUCUCAUCAGCUUCGUGAAUCUUCCCUUACCGACCGUCGAACACUUGCCGGAGGGCGCCGGAGCCACGAGUGACCUGCCUUACGACAAGAUCCAGUUUCUCAAGAAGGCUUACGACAUGCUCCAAGAACCCGUGGCCCGGUUCCUCGAAUCUUCGGAUCCCGAUUGGAUCAUGUACGAUUUCGCUCCGUAUUGGGCUGGCCCGAUCGCUUCUAGGCUCGGCAUAAGGAGUGUUUUCUUCAGUAUUACGACUGCUGCCAGCUUGGGCUUCUUUGGGCCAAUAUGGGCUUUAAAGGGGGGAGACUACCGGAAAACUCCGGAGGAUUUCACGAAGCGCCCCAACUGGGUUCCGUUCCCGACCAAGGUCGCAUUCCGCCACUUCGAGAUCAAGAAGAUUUUCGAUGCGGUUAUAGGCAAUGCGUCGGGCGUCACAGACUUAUAUCGCUUUGGGGCAGGCCAAGAAAGUUGUGACAUAAUAGCAGCUAGAAGCAGCUAUGAGGUCGAACCCGAAUGGUUGAGCCUCCUCAAGGAUAUCCACACCAAACCAAUCUUCCCCGUUGGGCAACUCCCCCCACGCGAUCCCGAGACGCGAGGCGAAAUUGACUCGUGGCGGUCAAUCAAGGAAUGGCUAGAUUCGCAGAAGAAAGGUACCGUGGUAUAUGUGGCAUUUGGGAGCGAGGCCAAACCAAGCCAAAUCGAAUUGACUGAGAUCGCCCUAGGGCUAGAGCUUUCGGGGUUACCGUUUUUCUGGGUACUCAAGACUCGGCUCGGCUCAUCCGACACUGAGUCGGUCGUGUUGCCGAACGGUUUUGAGGAGCGAGUCAAAGGGCGUGGUGUGGUUUGGGAUAGCUGGGUGCCUCAGCUCAAGAUACUCGAGCACGACUCGGUGGGCGGGUUCUUGACUCAUGCCGGGUGGAGUUCGGUGGUGGAGGCGCUAAGCUUCGAGAGAGCCCUUAUACUUUUCACAUUCUUGGCAGAUCAAGGACUAAAUGCGAGGUUCUUGGAGGAGAGACAGAUUGGGUAUCCGAUACCAAGGAAUGAGUCCGAUGGGUCGGUCACGAGGCAGUCCGUGGCCGAGUCGCUAAGGCUGGUGAUGGUGGAAGAGAAGGGUAGGGUUUACCGAGAGAAAGCAAAAGAGAUGAGGCCGAUAUUUGGGGACAAGAAUGUCCAAGAACGUUAUGUCAACAACCUUCUUAACUAUCUGAAGGAACACAGGCCUGUGAAACACCUAAAAUCAAAGGGGAUCACAAUAUAAGGCAAGAAGAUAUGAUGUGAUUAUCUAGUGCUUGUGCUGAGUAUCAAUGUUUGGCAAGACAUAGGUAUUUUGCUUAGUGCAUGAAACUAGAUGUUAAGGAGAAAGUAGUUUAUGU